CAAAACAUUUCAUAAAACUCCAUCACUAUUUACUAAUUAGAUUUAACCAAAUUUAAUAAAUUUAGUUUGCGUAUUAUUUGAUUACAUGCAGUCAUUAAUAUUCCGUAGUUGAAAUGUAAUAGUCGGCAAAAAAAAUAACAUUUCUUCAAACCUACGAAGCAGAAGAUAUAUAGUUACAGCAAAUGUAUCUGUAUAAUACCAAAUAAAAUAAAUUAAUUAAAACUAUUGUAUUUUUAACUGCGUGCAUCUGUUGUAGUUGUAUUGCACUUACGAGUUAAAUUUGAUUAGAUUUAAUUAACUCAAUAAAUCUAUCUAUGUUUUUAUGAAAAUUAUUAUGUUUUCUAAAAAAUAACAUCAAAAUAAAUAAAGUUUCUCAAAAAAAAGAAAAAAGAAAAAAAGAGCAUUUGUGGGUUUAAAAAUGGUGGCGGUGUUUACAAAGAUCAAAGGGGGAGUGGGUCCCACACAAAAGGAUAUAAAAAAGAGCAUAUGUCGUGGCGAACGCUGCUGACGUGGCGCUGAGCGUUGACUCGGAGAAGCGAAAUGCUAAAAAAAAAAGAAAGAGAAAGGAAAAAUGUAUAGGGACUCCCUCAACUAUAACCGUUUCUAAACGGGUCCCUUUUCUUUUGGAUUAAUAACCCCUAAGCUUUUAUUUUUUAGGAUCAAGCAAUUUUAAUAAAAAAAUUUUUAAAGAAUUUUAUCAAGUUCAAUAGUUUUAAUCACUUUAUAGCAAAUAAAAGUGUUGAAUUAUCAAAUGUUACAAAAUUUUUAAUGUAACUUAAAAUAAAAUUUUUAAUUCAAAAAAUAAAUACUUAAAAAAAGUGUAUAUAAAAAGUAACUUUAAUUUAGUUUGCUGUGGUUUUAGCGCAUUUCACUUUACCACUUUAUGGUUCAAAUAUAUUAUACUUAAUUAUUCUAUAGUUUUAUUUUUAUUUUUAAAUUUUAUCGAAAAGAUUUAUUAUAUAAUUUAACGAAAUAUUAACGAAAAAAUUAGUGAAAAGAUAAAAAUGAAACCACAGAACACUAACUUUAUACAUUUUAGAUUACAGGGUACUAAAGUGAGAAAGUGCGAAACUACAGGGAUGGUAUCUGAAGUUUGCUCUAAGUUAUUUUCAUCUUUAUUAUUAAAGUUGAAGGGUUCAUUUCAGAAUACCCUAUAAUUGAGGAAUCUCAAUGUAACUUUUACCCCCCACCUCCCAAAAAAAAAAAAAAAAGUUACAGGGUGUCCAGCUGGAUUGGAGGAUACAGUGGUGAGACAGCUUGUGGUAGCGUGGGGACAAAAUCUUUCACGGAUCACGAGGUGUCUCACAAAUCCCCAGAUGGUUAGUUUACUUCAGUGAAGUGGAACCUCCCACUGUGUGGUUGUCCUCUGGUGCUCAUGUUGAUUCCCCGUGAUUUGACACCUCACCGUCGCAUUUACAACACAGGACGCAGAAUUUUUUUUAAUAUAUUAUGAAAUAAUUUUAUCGCGUAUUUGUAGAGAAUUCAAACUUUCGAUGAUUGAUUUGAUUUGUCAAAAGUAAAAUUAAAUGAAUACUACAAGAUCAAGUAUUUGGUGUAGCAGAUCAGAUCCAUUUUCUUUUGUUACAGAUAGUGAUCUAAUUUAGUAAAUUUAUUUAGGAAUACUAACAUCAGUUGUUAGUAAUAUUAUUAAUCGUUACGAAUGUUGAUAAUAUUGCAAAGUUGCCAUGACCGUUAACAGAAGGAUAUACCAGUUGAUUUGGUCAUUGUGUACUGACUGAAUAUGACCAAAUUCAUUAUAUUCGACCCGUGCAUAACCAAUUCUUGAUUUGCUAAUUGUUGCAUGAUGAAAGUGUUGGUAUUGUUUCAUUUUGAUGAGUAGUAAGCUUACUUGAAAGAGGUUGCAACAGAUUUUUUAGAUUAUUAGAUGAAAAAGAACAUCUUUGAACGAAUUUACUGCACAUAAGCAUCAUCAUUAUAACACUCUAACAAAGUCCCUUGGAUGAUGCUCCAUAACAUUUUCUUCAUUUGUAUUAAUGUGUAAGGUUACAUGUGGUUUUUUAGACUACAUGUGUAAGCCAAUAAUACAUAAUUCGGCUUAGAAAAGGAAGAUGAUUCAACGAAGUGCUAGUAUGAUAUAGUACGAGAAAAUAGACCCCUUGUCUAAGCUAAUUAUGUUUUACUACUUUUGCAAAUGGAUCCGGGUUGGUGGAGCUCCCACCUAGAUCCGCCCCGAACGAGAAUAUAAGUGGGAAUAAAAAAUAUAGAAAAAUAUAAUUCGUCCUGAAUCAAUUUCCAUCCACAAGUAAAUGGAGUGGAAGGUAGGAGACCUUUCUUUUCUUUGCUUCGCUCAAAAUUUGCUCAAAAUUUACCAAAAUUUGCUUUUAUUCGCGAUCCACUCUGAAUGGAGCAGUAAGUGGGGGCCAAAAAUGAAAUUAAAAUUAACCCGCCCCGAUCCGUUCCGACUCGAUAAAAAAAAAAAGAAUGGAAGGCGGAGAACUCCGGAUUCACCUCAUUUGCAUCCUUAGUUUUUACUCAUAGGUUCUAAGUUACCAUAUAUCACAAUCCAACUAAUUACAGAAAAGAAAAGAUCCCUAUAUAACUAUGUUUCCUACCAUAUAGUAUUGAUAUUUUAGCAUAGUACUUGAUAUAGGCUCUCCUAUUUGGUGUGAGAAUUUUCCGUCAUCAUUGGAUAGUAAGAGUGUCUUCAGAUAUUUGGCUUUUACGUUAUUUUUUAAAAUAUAAUAAAUCAGCUCAUAGAUAAAAUAUAUCAUCUUGCUAAAUUAUAGAUGUCGAGACCUUUCAAGGAACAAAUCAGACUUUAAAUUCAAGUCACACUAAAAAGAUCUUUAUAUUGAGUAAGUUAUCGUUGGAUAUUUUAGUCGAUCCGACAUUCAAACAAAUCGAUCAAAAAUACCAUAGAAGCUCACCAAUGUAUCAAUUAUGUAAGCGACCUUUUACGAGGAACACAAAAUUAGUUUGGGUAUAUAAAGAACCCAAAGCCAUCUCAUCCUUUCCUCGCUCAUGAUACAAAAUAAUAACAAGAUUUCAAAUAAAAUAAUUUAAUGAACUUUUAGUGCGAAUUUUAUCUGAGCCGCACAAACAUUUGUAGUUCAUUUUUCAUUUUCUUAGUCAAGUUCAGUUUCCACAAUCUCUUUCCUCCAUAGUCGAUCUCUUUUGUCUACUCUCCUCUAAUUCAAUUGUCAAUCAAGAUAUGUAGGAUGAUUUUUUUAAGGAAAAUGAGAUGAUUUUUGUGUUAUUCGUAUAUUUUAUAAUGAGUUAUAGAUUAAAAUUACGCAUUUUAUAUGUGAAAAAAUAUAGUUAGAAAAACAAGAUAGAAAAAUAAUUCUUUUUAUAUAUGUGCUUAUUAAUGUAUAUUAUUAUUAUUUGAAUACAUAUUCAAUUCAUAUUCAAAUUCGAAAAAAUAACCGAUUAUAUCCGAAUCUGUUUUUAGCAGGUAUGAUAAUAAAAAUUUAGGGUAAACUUCAGAUACCAUUCCUGUGUGUUUCGCACUUUUUCACUUUAGUACCCUAUAAUUUAAAGUAUAUCAAAUUAGUGUCCUGCCGUUUUAUUUUUAUCUUUUUGUCAGCUUCCUCCGUUAAUAUUUCGUUAAAUUAUAUACAAAAAACUUCAAACACUCCACCUAGGUUUUUCAAAUAUUUACUUUAAUACCCUUUAGUUUUAACUUUGUCAUUGAUUUAAUAAAAAAAAUUAGUAAAAUUUAUAAUAAAAAAAUAAAAAAUAAAAUCACAUGGCACUAAAUUGAUACACUUUAAACCACAUGGUAUUAAAGUGAAAAAGUGUGAAACCACAUUGACGGUAUUUGAAAUUUUUUCAAAAAUUUAAUAUCCGACACAUAUUUGUACCUGAAAAAAAAGAAUAUAGAUGCGAACGUGGUUUUGUCAAAUAUCCGAUCAUUUUCGAUCCGUUUUCACCCCUAACAAUAUCCCAUCUCUUUCUCACACGUGGAAUCAUCUAAUUUAUCUACAAUGAACCGGUCCCCGUUUAAGCCAGCGUUGACUUUGCCGAACCGGGGAGUAACCACAGAACGAGACUCCGCGGAGAAUCGUUGACUGGGCCACAAAAGUCAACACAAAACUAUUCCCUGCACCGGCGCGUACCGUACUCCACACGCGGCCCAGGUAAAAAUGUAUGCAGAUCCCCUCAAUUAUAGGGUAUUCGGAACUUCAGCCCUCAACUUUAAAUUUUUUUUUCCGAAAAAACUUCAAAUGCCACUUUUAUAAUUUGCACUUUCUCACUUUCGUACCAUGCGGUUUAAAGUGUAUCACUUUAUACCCUGUGAUUUUAUUUUUCUCUUUUUGUUAUUUUCUUCGUUAAUUUUUUCGUUAAAUCAAUGACAAAGUUAAAACUAAAUAGUACAAAAGUGAAUAUCGAUAAUACUAUGGAUGAGGUAUUUGAAGUUUUUUAUAUAUAAUUUAAUGAAAAGUUAACAGAAGGAGAUGACAAAAAAAAAAAAAAAAAAAUACAGGGUACUAAAUUGAUACACUUUAAAUCACAAGAUACUAAAGUGAAAAAGUACGAAACCACAUGGGUAAUAUUUAAAAUUUACCCAAAUUUUUGUAUUGACACUCCUUUAACUUUUUUUUAUAUAAAAAAUUGAUAGCUCUUUUAGCUAUUAACAAGUAAUUAAUCUAAUUUUAUCUACUAUGAUUGAGUUAAACUAAAUAAUUUGUUAUGCUAAAAUCACUUAAUUCCAAAAAACUAACCGCUCAUGGAAUCUCAAAAAAAUGAGGGGCUAUCUUAAAAUGGUAUAUAGGUGAGGGAGUUUUCAUUCAAUUUUACCUAUAUUUUAAUCAACGGAAAAGUAAAAUAGUACGCUAUUUCAAAAUUUAUUUCUUUUUAAAUAGGCCUUUUUGAAUAUCAUCAUAGAACACAUUUAGGAGGGCGGUGCAUGAGCUGUACUUGUACACCCGGUGCAGGGAAUAGCUUUGCAACUUAACUAACUCAUUAAAAUGAGUCAACGUCUCCCGCGUGAUGAGGUCGUUAUGACCUCUUUAUGAGCCUUGUGACAACCUCUUUCUGGGGUUUUGUGGGAGUGGGGCCCACCAACUCCGAUGUCAAACUCAUGGGUCGUGGGGCCCACCCGUUGGAGGGGGAAGGAACGUGUCAACAGCGUGGACGCUAUUAUCGGGAUGCAACAUCACCCGCCUGCACGACUAUUAAAGCGUGGCUCAGGCAAUUUGGACGGUGGGCAUUUGCCCUAGUUAGAGAUGUCAACGGGUCGGGGCGGAUUUUUAAAGAUCCGAACCCGAAUCCGACUCCAAACCCGAGACCCAAACCAGAAUCCGAACCCGACGGAUUUUAAAAAUCCAUAUCCAAAGCCGAACCCGGCCAAAAAUUCGAAACCCAAACCCGAAAAUUUGAACCAUGAAACAAUUAUUUCUUUUUUCAAUAUUUCAAAAUAUAUUAUAUUAAAUCUAAAUUUUUAAAAUACAAAUUCAAAUAUAACAUCAAAUUUAUAUAUAUAUAUAUAUUAUAUAUAAUACAAAAUAAAUUCGGGUUCGGAUUGGGUUCGGGUCGGGUCGGGUUCAAUCAAAAUUCAUAUCUGAAUCUAUAUCCGUCGGGUUUCUAUUUCUGAUAUCCAUAUCUAAAUCCAUCGGAUAUAUCUGUUUCAUUCGGAUUCGGAUUCGGCUAAAAUUUCGACUAUCCAUACCCAUUGACAUCCCUAGCCCUAGUCCUCCCCAAAGAAUGAAAAAUAAAUAAAAUUAUGCCAAACUUAUUUGAAUUGUGUAUUAUUUUAAAUUAAUUAUUAUUAUUUUAAAAUUUGUAAUUUACUAUUUAAUUUUUAAAUUUAUUUGAUUUGAGUUUGCUAAUGGUAUUUUGACUUUAGAAUUUAAGCUGAUUACUUACUUUAAUAGAUUUAUAGUUGCAAGAACUGUAUAAAAUAUACUAACUAAAUGAGUGGAGAUAAACAAUAUAUUCAAAAAUUUGAAAUCAAAAUGUCAUCGAUCGACCCAAGUCAAAUAAAUUAAAAGAUUAAAUAGUAAUAUCAAAAUUUUGAAAGGUUGGUAACUGAUUCAAAAUAAUUUAUAAUUAAUGUAAGUUCCGAAUACUUUAAUUAACCCAAAAGAAUGCAGAUAGAGUAAAAUAUGUAAAAUUAGAGAGAAAAAAAAAAAAACUGAUCUAGAAACAUUCACUAUUUAAGAGCCAUUUGACUUAUAAAUACAUUAUAAUUAGAGAUGCGAAAUUUAUAUUUGUAUUUAUUCCGUUUAGCGCUAUGUAAGAAAAGGAAGUGACUAUAAAUCUUUUAUUUACUUGCUUAUAAUUAGAAAGUACAUUUACAAGUUUUAUUAUUUCACAUAUGAUAUGGGGGGAAUUAUUUUUUAAAAAUAAAAAUUUGUUUUUUAUUUAAAAUGUGAAUGGAUAGAAAAACGUUUCUUUUGUAUAAAAUUACUUUUUUAAUUAUUGUAUUUUCAACUGCUGCAAGUAAUUGCAACUCUCUUUCUUUUUAAAUUUUUUGGAAUUUAUGUUAAAACCAAAGAAAAAUUUGCACAACUUUUUUAAAAAAAGGAUUUAAAGAGCACACAUGUUAUCGUUACAUAAGCUGUAACCUGUAUAAUAUUUGCUUAUUUUACUCGUCUCGUCAACACCCUUUAUUUAUUGCAUUGUAACUCUAUGUUGCUUACUUAUUAGAUGUAACCUGAGUUAAUGAUAUAAUAAUGUGUUUCCUAAUACAUUAUUUGGUUUAUAUAUUAAAUUUUAUAUUAGAUUUUGUACCAUGCGUGAAUCCUAUUAUAGUGAAUGAUGCUUAUUGAAUUGAUACAAAGAAAAAGAAUUGCGACAAGUAGAGCAAAAGAUUCUCUUUUGAACAUGUAGAUAUUAUAAUCAUAAAUUAUGAUAAAUUUUUGUUGAUAAGAUACCAAGUGGGAUUUAAUGGAGUUAGAGGUCGUUUAGUUUAAUAUACAAUUUUAUAAUUAUAUUUUUUUUGAAUUUAUAGUUUUUUUUUUCAAAUUUAAAAAAUAAAAUAAAAUAGAAAGCAAACAUGGAGUCAAACGAGUUGAAUAUAGUCUCAUGAAUCUCAUGUUUGAGGGUAUUAAUGGGCCGGGUUUGGAUCAACCUUAUCGGAGCCCAUGACUCGGUCCGAAACUGAAAAGUUAAGUGGAGCGUGGACCGGGCCUCGGCCCUAGAGCCAACAUUUUACCCAUCUCACCAAAAGAGGGGGGGGGUGGGGGGUUCAGGGACCAAAGUGAAAUAUCUGAAGAGAUAGAGGGGCGCUGGUGCAAUUAAGACUGUAAUUGUUGUCCUAAUACCUGGCCUUCGAUUUUGAUUUGGACGGCUGAGAUCACUUCCGAACGGCCUCUGAUUUCCCGGCAAAACCCCGCGAACAACUGUAACCGUCGCAUCCUCUUCCUACGUAUCGUGCGAAAACCGAAAUUUUACAAAUUAACCCCUCCAUUUCUUCGAAUUCCAAUCCGAAACCCCUUCUCUCUCUCUCUCUCGCUCCGGUUAUCGCCAUGGGAGGCUCUCAUAGUCGCGAGGGCCUCGAGCUCUCCGACGAGGAGGAGGAGGACGAAGAAGAAGAGGAGGAAGAAGACGAAGAAGAGCACGAGCAGCGCGAAGGAUCCCAAACCCUAACCCCGCCCUCCCUCGAUGACGUCGACUCCAAACUCCGCUCCCUUAAGCUCAAGUACUCCUCCAACCCUUCUCCUUCUCCUUCCCCUUCCCCUUCCUCCUCCUCCCAAAACGCUAACCCUAACCCCAACCCUAACGACGCCGUCAAGCUCUACCUCCACAUCGGCGGGAGCUCCCCCACCGCGCGGUGGAUUGUCUCCGACAAGCGCGCCUCCUACUCCUUCCUCAAACCCUCCCCCCUCCCCGACCGCGCUGAUGACUCCUCCUCCCCAUGGUCCUUGGUGAUCGGAUCCAAGGUGCGCGCCAAGGUGGGCGCGGAGAUGCAGCUGAAGCCGUUCCCCGAGCAGCGGCGCGUCGACUUCGUGGCCGAUGGGGUUUGGGCCCUCAAAUUCGCCUCCGCGGAAGGGUACCGCGAGUUCCAGAGCCAGUACCGGAGCUGCCUCUUCGAGAACACCUACGGCCUCGCCGCGACGGAGGAGAACCGCGCCAGGGUUUUCGGUAAGGAUUUCGUGGCGUGGGCGCAACCCGAGGUUGCAGACGACGCCAUCUGGGAGGAUGCCGAGGGGAGCUUCGAGAAGAGCCCGAUUCUCCCGGUUAGGGCGAGCCAGGACCUGUUGGAGGAGUUCGAGGAGGAGGCCAUUGAUGGCGGGAUUCAGAGCCUUGCGCUCGGAGCUUUGGAUAAUAGCUUCUUGGUGAACAAUUCGGGGAUCCAGAUUGUAAGGAAUUUCAACCAUGGAGUUCACGGGAAGGGCGUUUCGGUUAAAAUUAGCCAUGAUGGGGGUCAGAUUGCAGGGUCUUCGACCCCAAAGAAGGCGCUUUUGAUGAGGGCGGAGAGCAAUAUGCUUCUGAUGAGUCCGGGGCAAGCGGGGAAGCCCCACUCGACAGGUGUUUACCAGCUUGACAUCGAAACGGGGAAGGUCGUUACAGAAUGGAAAUUCGAGAAGGACGGGUCUGACAUUACGAUGAGGGACAUCACGAAUGAUAGCAAAGGCUCGCAAUUGGACCCUUCGGAGUCUACCUUCUUGGGAUUGGAUGACAAUAGGCUCUGCCGAUGGGAUAUGCGGGACCGGAGCGGGAUGGUUCAGAAUAUCGCCAGCUCAAAUGAAUCUCCGGUUUUGCACUGGACUCAGGGCCAUCAGUUCUCUAGGGGCACUAAUUUCCAAUGCUUUGCUUCGACCGGCGAUGGGUCUGUUGUGGUGGGUUCGAUUGAUGGGAAGAUCCGCUUGUACUCGAAGAAUUCAAUGAGGAUGGCCAAGACUGCAUUUCCGGGGCUUGGAUCCCCCAUCACUAAUGUCGAUGUUACCUUCGAUGGGAAGUGGAUACUGGGUACUACGGACACUUAUUUGAUACUCAUAUGCAGCAUCUUUAAGGAUAAAGAUGGAAAGGAGAAGACUGGUUUCAGUGGACGCAUGGGGAACAAGAUUGCGGCUCCAAGAUUGCUGAAGCUUACUCCACUGGAUUCGCAUCUGGCUGGGAAGGACAAUAAGUUUCAUGGGGGACAGUUCUCCUGGGUGAGUUUGAUUACUUCCCCUUCAUGCAUAUAUAUGUGUGAUGUCAUACAUGAUGUCAGUUUCUACUCAUGUAGUAGUUAAAUAUUAGUUGAUUAGUUUCUGUAGUUAUAGUGUUACUUGACUUGUGCUUCGCAUUUGCAUAUUUCCAAUUUUUAUUUGUCUUCCCAGGCUGUGACUAGCUUCUAGGAAUUAUAAUUUGUUGAAGUAUUCAUUUUUUUCAGUCUAACUAGAGAAAUCUGUAAGGAUGAAGGUAACUGUUGCUGUCUAUUUUGGAAUGAGAGGUAAUAUCCAGCUGUAGAGUUACUGUCAGGGAAACUAAUGCACUGACUUAUUUGUAUAAACCAACAUUACAAGCAAAUGCACUUAACCGGGGGGAAAAAAAACAAAAGCAGCUCAUGGAGAUAGAAAUAGUAUAAACUCGUUUAGUUUCUUGACAUGUACUUUCAACUUGCUAUGAAGUAGAGAUGAAAACAAGCAAUUGUUUUCGUAUUUUAGCUGAAACUUGAGAUGCAUUUGUUAUUGUCAAAAUUAUUGACUCGGCACUAGAAUGUAAAUUUUCAUGAAGACUCUAGACAUAUACAAUGAUGAUAUGAAACAUGAAUAUUCGCUCGUAUGAGAAUAUGGCACUUUCCACAUCUAUAGUAAAGUUUAGCUGUUUAGAAAGAGCAAAGAACAUUAGUAGGCAUGUUCCUCAAAGAACCGUUACAGAGUAAAUAUCUGCACAGAACACAUCUCUGGUCAAGAUUUAGUCUAGCAUGUUUCAGUUCGCUCGAGGUGACCUGUCCCAAAUUGCCAAUAAUCUAAGAUGGAUACCAGGAGGUAAGGUUUCUACUCAUUUAGAUGAUUUGGCAUUUGUAGAUUCAUUGACUGUUGAAGCAAUUCCCAUCUGGAAGUUUGAGUUACUUUGAUUGCCUUGGCUAUUUCCUAGCGCUUGCUAAGCGUCUAAGUGCCAGGCAAAACAAUAACACUCCAAUCUUAACUUGACCCCUACAGUUCACUAUCAGAUCUAAUCUUGUAGCAUUGCCAGGGGAGAUUUUUAAAAAACUCCUCAAUCUCGAUAUCAUGCCUGAGUAUCCCAUAUAGUAUAAUUAGUGCUAGAACCUUGCACAUAACGACUAUGAGUAGCAAGGGUGAGAGGCAGCUAAGAACUCGAAUUCAAGACAGAUGUCAAAAGGACAAGGAAUCUUGUCAUUGGUGGCGAUUAGAACAGGAUGUAUUUGGCAAACUCCAAAGUAUCGCUUUACGGUAGGAGUGAGACUUUAGCAGGUUUGGCCGUUUUUGCUAUUUUGGGUUUCACUUUGUCUUUCAGUGGCUAGGAACCCAUAUCAUAUAACGGCGGUCCAAAUGCUUAGAAAGCAUAAGCUUCAUUACAGAUAAAUUUGAGAGUUAUUCAGAUCUUUAGAGGAAGUUGCAGGAAAACAACUUUUGCGCAAAUUUGCUUCUGCGGUUGUUCUAUAUUUACUAUCUGCAGCAGUCUUGGUUUCUAUGGGGAUAAGUUUAUGUCAGCACUUGUUUCCUGUGGAAGAUGAAUUUCUGCAUGGGAGGAAAAAGAACCUAGAGAAGAGCCAUUCGCAUCAACAUCUCUUACUGCUGUAAGUUCCUAUCGAGAUUUUGUUGGGACCUCUAGUUUCUAGCUAAAGAGAGGGAUAUUAGAUCGAACAGAGGUAGAGAAUGAAUAGGACAAAAUGGACGGGGAAGAAGACAGGGUGCAUGGAUGAAUUCGCCUACUAUGGUUGAUCUUUAUUCAAGGAUACACCAAGUGUGACUCCACUUUCUGGACAGAAAUAAGUUGUUUCCGAGUAAAUAGAAAUUUGGAAUUAGUCUGGUGCUUUCGGAUUGCCCCAGGAAAUAUUGCGCUAGAUUUUAGUGUUUGUAUUGUCCACGACAUCUUUUGCUGGAUGAUAAGCAUGAUUUUUACAGGAGCUUUUGCAUAUUAUAAAAUGUACCAAAGAAAGUUUUGCAUUUGAAUAGUUAGAAUUUCUGAAAGUAGCUGUUUAAAAUAUUAGUCAUUUCUAGCUAACUACUUUUUUUUUUUGAAAGGAAUGUAUAGGGUAUUUCCUAUACGUUUCAUUGAAUGUAAUAAGAGUUACAUCUACUUGGCGAAAAGCCAUCAUAACUAGCCAGUAGAACAACGAAAUUCCGCUUAAGCACCUGAAUAUCCUUCUAAUACGGACGACUACAUUAUGCUUAUAUUUUUUUUGAGAAAAACAUUAUGCUUAUAUUGUCAUCUCGAAAACUUGAGAAUAUUCAAGAAAAAGAUGAUGGUGAGGUAAUGAACGUAAUUUCUUAUAUCAUGAGAUGAUGAGACAAUGAAUAGCAAUCAUUUAUUUGCCUCCAAUGCAAGUCAUAACAUGAGUGAUUGCUAUUCAUUAUCACAUUAAAUUUUGUUGCGUUCUCACUCCAAUUUGGAUGUCCAUUCACAUGCAUAGUGCAUUAUUUAUCUUUCUCAGAUGAUGAAUGCCAAGAUCCUAUUCUCGAAAUUCCUUUGGUUUUUUGUUGGAUUAACUGUCUCUCUUUUCACUGCUGCGGUAUCUUCAGGUGACAGAGAACGGUAAACAGGAGAGGCACCUGGUUGCAACAGUCGGCAAAUUCAGCAUCAUAUGGAAUUUCCAGCAGGUAAAGAACAGCAACCACGAGUGCUAUCGAAACCAGGAAGGGUUGAAGAGCUGCUACUGUUACAAGAUCGUCCUCAAGGACGAAUCCAUCGUCGACAGCCGCUUCAUGCACGAGAAAUUCGCCACAAGCGACUCCCCAGAAGCUCCUCUCGUGGUCGCAACCCCAAUGAAGGUUAGCUCCUUCAGUAUAUCAAAUCGGCGCUAACUUGUGAUUAUUUCGUUUUCCCUUUUCUAAUUAUCGCAUGGAGUGGAUUGAUUGCUGUUGAUAGAAUUGGUUUGAAAUUACAGAUUUGUUUGUGCAUAAAUUGUCAAUAUGCUAUAUUUAUGUGGCAUAAAUUCCUGCUUGUGGUUUUUAUAAUCAAGAUUACAUCAUUGUAAUGGCUGGAUUUCUUGGUGAUUUUGAGCAUAAUUUUUUCGUUUCUAUUUUUUUUUUUUUUAAAAUGCAUAUAUAUUACAUUUGGUUUCACAUGUUUAUUAUGGGCCAUUUUAUAGUGGGCCACACAGGCUGCUACACACAUUAUCGAUAUCUCGUAGCCAUAUUUUCAUAUUUGAAUCAUUGAAUUGCACACGAAUCAUAUGUAAACUAUUAAAAAGGUGAAUGUGUAGAGGUAGAGGGGCGUAUUGUACAUGCGAUCGCUCUGUGCUAUAAUCUGGUGCACAGAAUUUUCCUACACUCUGUACGAUCUUACUGUUCCUUCAAACUACUGUGAUGAUUCAUUAAUCCAAUAGUUGGUCAAUUCGACAGUUGACAUGCAAAUUGUGUUAUGCGUGGUAAGAGAGUUUGAUAGAAAAAUACUUUAUUUGUCUUCGUAAGUUGGUUAAGAUAUAAAUUUCUAUAGUCUUCUAGAAAGAUAGAGAGUAUUGUUAUAUACUUUCGACCUAACUCUUUUGUGCCCGAUAGCGUUAGGUGCAACCUUUCGUGCUGAAUGGGCCCUUCGAAGUAUGGUAGCAUUAGUCGGUGCCCGAGAAAGUCAUGCAAAUAUCCUCCCCACCUUAUCCUCUUUCUCGCAUGCAUAUUAUAUUCUACUUUGUUAGCAGAAAAAUCUUGCACACAUAAUCAUUUUACUGUAGAUUUACGACGGAAUGGAUCUCUGCUCUAGACUAUCAGCGGCUAAGAUCCCAUCUGCAGCAUACGUAUCAGGUUACAGGAUUUUUGUGCGCACGGAGCUGCAGAAAAAAUUGCACUCGACUUUCUCAUGUGUCUCUAUGUGUGUGCUGUCUGAUGGAGAACCAACAACUUCGAGCCAGACCAACAGCUUGGUUGACAAAGGCCAGGCUGUAGUCAAUUUUCUACGGCCUCGUGCCAAAACUCCAAUUCCAAGCACUUGACCAUUUUUUGAUUCUGCACAAGGUCAUUGUUUUGCUUUUGAUUUUGAAAUCUUAACGACUUACCAUUUGGAUUACUUAGCUGAGAAAGUAUGAUUAAAAAAAAAAUUUAUUUGUUUUCGUACGUAAUAUCACGUUUCGCAUACUGUAAUAAGUCGGUUAUAAUAUAUUUUCUGCGGUUCUAAAAACUCAGAAAUACAUUUAUAUAUGUUUUUAUACCAAUUUUACUUUAUCUAUUAUUAGGCCCUUAAGUCACUAGCAAGCCCUUCAUAUAUUCUUUUGCUAGAGUGCAUAGUACAUAACCACAUCAAUGAUCAACCACAAAUUAAACUUCUCACAUGGCGCUUUUUUCGGGCUUGAUUUGUUAAUCUCUUUACAUUUUAGGGCCCAUUUGUACAAUGAAACAAAUUAGAGGAAGACGUACAGAACUUACUUAAACUAUGAGCAUUUUGAAUCAGUUAUCUGAUCUUUCAAAAUUUUGAUUUUACAAUCCAACCUUUUCAAUUUGUUUGGUUAGAGUAAGUCAAUAAUACUUUAACUUCAAAAUUUAAGUUUAUUGCUUAUUUUAAUAUAUUUAUGAUUGCCAGAAUUGUAUAAAAUAUACUCACUAAAUAUAUAAAGAUAAACCAUGCAGUCAAAUUUUCAAGUCAAAGUAUUAUACCGACUAAAGCAAAAUCAAAAUUUUGAAAGAUCAGAUAAUAAUUCAAAGUGAUUGAUAGUUCAGCAAAAGUUCUGUAUAUUUUUAAGCAACAAAGUACUUAAUAAUAACUUUUUUGUUAUUAUGAUUAUUCUUUUAUGAAUAUUGCAUCCUAGAGUUUGUUGUUAGUCCAUUAAUUAAUAUAGAACUCUCUAGUACCCACAAUUUUUCGAGAUAAUGCUUACUACAUUUAUUUAAAGGAUGAAUUUAUUUGUUACAGAGAAAUUGACUUAAUAAGAGGUUUUAUAUCCUAUGUUGUAGUACUCUAGUAAACAUUUAAUCAAACCCAUCCAUCAAACUUGCCAAAAGUAAUAUUCUGAAACAAGAUAUUAAUUCAUAAUAUUUCUUUUUUUCAUGGUGCAAAAGCUAACAUUUCUUAAAGCAUCAUUUUAAUAUAAAAUUAUAAUAUUUUCUCCGCUUAGAGACUCUACCAUCAAAUACGACACAAUAUAAUAUCUUUUUUUUUUUUUUUUGUAGUGCAAGUAUUAAUAUUUCGUAAAGCACCGUCUUAAUAUAAAAUUACUGUAUUGCAUUUGCUCUGAGGCCCUGCAAUCUAAUACGACGAAAUAUAAUUAAUUUGACAUAUAUACAUCAUAUUUGUGGUGUAUAUCUUAUACAAUAUAGACUUUUGUGACCCUUGGUUAAGUGUCCUAGUAUCGUUAGAUUCGGAGAUAAGCAAAAAGUGGCUAUUACAGGAAUAGGUAUAAAUUGAGGUAUAAGCGGGGAUUAAAUCAAUUUUAUGUUUGGAUGAAAAUUGGGUUAUUCCUGAGAAUAAAAAAAAUAACGUUUGGUUAGGUAAGGUGGAAUAAGAAUUAAAGUUGGUAGAUAUAAAUAAAAAAUAUUGAUAUUAACCCUCUCCUUAUAUUUGAAUUUGAAAUUUUAAAUUAUAUAUAUAUAUAUUUUAAAAUUUAAAAUUUUAACUUUUAAAUUUCAAAUUUUCAAAUUAAAGUUUAAAAUUUAAAAUAUCAAAAUUUAAAUUCAAAAUUUUAAAUUUUAAAUUUUAAAUUUUAAAUUUCAAACUUUAAAUUUUAAAAUAUAAAAUAUCAAAUUUUAAAAUUUGAAAAUAAAAAUAGGGGUGGGAACAAUUAAUAAAAUUAAUUUACUAUAAUAAAUUUAUAAAUUUGAUAAUAAUAAAUUUUUUAAUAAAUUUAUAAAUUUUUUAUUAUUAAUAAAUUAAUAAUUUUUUAAAAUUCUAUUUAAACUUAAAUUUAAUAAAAAUAAUAUUUUAUAAUAUUUAAAUAUAAUUUAUUAUAAAAUUUAAUAUUUAAAUAUAAUUUAUGAUAAUAUUUAAAUAUAAUAAUAUGUAUAAUAUAGUAACAAUUAAUAAUUUUAUAAUAAAAAUAAUAUAUUAUAAUAUAUAACAUAUUAUAUUUAUAUAAUUUAAUUUUAAUUUAAUUUAUAAUUUUAAUAAAGUUUGAAAUUAAACAUUGAAUAGCACUAUUCCAUCAAAAUGGUGGAAUAGUAAAUCCCUCACUAUUUUGGAACAGCCAAAAAUAGCAAAGUUUGACCGGAUAAAAUAUCGGCAAAAAAUUAUUUCGUUUGGUGGAAUACGCGAGAAUAAUUUUCGUUAUUCCUGCUUAUACCGCCAACUAAGUUUUUAUUUUGAUAGACCCUUGCCCUCAAAUCAUGUAACUCUAGAGAGGAGAGAAGAGAGAGAGAGAGAGAGAGAGAAUAAAUAGUGGCCUUUAUUGAGAGGUUCAUCUCAUACUUUUCUCCUUAUCUCAUCCAAGAAGUUGGAACUUGUCAAGCACAACAACUGUGUACACAUGGUAAUGUUAGGCAAAGCAACUCCAAUUCCCCCCCCCAACUAGCUGUCCCUUUCUCUUUCUUUUGCCAACCAUUGUACCAAUCAAACCAGUUAUUUAUUAACCAAAAUUCAUUUACUUAUAAUUAUAUUAUUACUAUUAUUAUUAUUAUUAUUAUUAUAUAUUAUUAGUAUUAUCAUCAUUUUGGAGUACAAAAGGGGGCCUACAAGUGAAUGUAGCACAUGAGUCUCCCAGUCAAUUUGGGUUAGCCUGACCCCUUUACAUCCAAGCAAGGAAGGUGGGAGGAAGAUAGGGCCAUAUGGUUUGUUCUUGUGGGGGAUAAACAUCCUCACUGAGGAGAGAUAUUGUUGCCUGCACCAGCUGCGGAUAAAACUUUAGUGGGGAGCUCUCGGACGGCGUCUCGUUAGGGAGUACAUCUGAUGUACUGUCACAUACUAGUUUUGUUUCCAUCUAAUGAUUCAUCGAGUAUUUUUAAUACUAAAACACGAAAAAAGAUUUUAAUCCUAGAGGCCGGGAAGGAUUAUAUCUUUUGGAUAGAGAUAAAAGUGACGCGUGGCGACUAAUUAGGACUCCCUAAUAAGGCGUCGUUGAAAAGCUUCCGACUAUUUUUUUUUUUUUUUUCCACGAGAUGCAUAUAUAUGCUCACUUCAUUUACCUCAUCUAAUAUUUGGUUAAUUUUCAACAUUUAAAAUCAAAAUCUAAUUUGACUGAGGCCCCAUUUCAUUACAUCAAAAUAUAUAUAUAUAUAUAUAUAUAAAUUAUGUAUUUUAGAAACCUACUGCUAAACAGUAGAACAAUAAUUUUGAUAUAUAGGCUUUUUGAAUGUCAUAAAGUUCGUCCAUUUUUCAGAAAAAGUUGGAAGGAAAACAUAUAUACAUAAAUGGGACUACAGAACUUAGCAAAUAGAACUGCUGUUUUUAUUCUUUACGAAAACAGACGAGAUAUUUUUCCAUAGCGUAGUUUGGUACUAACAUUUUGAUUUCUGAGCGAGGUGCGGCGCAUAAGAUGCGCUUAAACACUAGGUAUAGGGAACAAGUUCAUUUCAUUUAGGGGGAGUAUAGGGACCUCACAUGAGUCCAACCACUAGCUAGUGCAUGCAUUCCCUUUCAUAUUUUCCUUGUGUAGGUCUCUCAUGGAAGGGUGUUGGGUAGGGCUACAAAAACCAAAUUGGUAGCGUCACGGAGAAGAAGAGAACAUAUUAUAAAUUUAUAUAUAUAUACUAUAUAUUAUUAUAUAUGUAAUAUAUAUAUAUAUAUAUAUAUAUGUAUGUAUAUAUAUAUAUAUGUAAUAUAUAUAUAUAUAUAUAUAUAUAUAUAUAUAUGUAAUAUAUAUGUAUGUAUGUAUGUGACAUGAGUCUCCAUCAAUAACUUUGGACUAGUCAUUUCGGAUAAGGACCAAUAGUACUAGGGAAUCCCUUCUAAACUGGGCAACUUAUCUCACAUGAUUUUUAAUUUUGUUUUCUCCUUUUAUUUUUUGGUCCUCCUUUUGUUCCUAUCUUUUACAUUGAGAAGGACCACUAUUUAGUCUCAUGCCUCUAUUUAUAUCCAAACGUUAAUUUUUUAUCUGAGAAUUAUAAUUCUCGAUUAGCUAUAAUAACCGGGUAUAACUAUCUCCAUCAAUACCUCCAUUUUUUAUAUAUAACUAUCAACUAUUUUUCUUAUUCCAUAUUAUCUAUCCAAACGCUAUUUUUUUUUAUCCUAAGGAACAACCCAAUUUUUAUCCAAACGCUAUUUUUUUAUCUCCAUACUUAUACCUAUCCCUGUAAUAGCUAGUUCUUACUUAUAUCCGAACCAAACGCUUAGGGUAUCAAAGGUGUUAUUAUAAGUAUUUUUCUUACGUUCAAAAUAGUGAAGAGCCGAGUUGAGCCGAGUCAUGUUCGAGCCACAAUCAAGACCCCUAAGUACUGUGUCUAUACGUUUUAAGUGAAUUGAUUGUAUAUUUCUAAUAGCUCGAGUUUUUAGAAUUAAUGGUUAGUGUCAACGAUUCUACAUCGGUAGAUUCUCCAAUACGACCUUACAAUACGGACAUGAAAACUUUCAGAUCAGAACAAAACUUUGAGAUGUUUCGUAGCGAAGUUGUUCUCUGACGAGGGUUCAGUUGAGUGGUUUUGCUGCAAUUCAUGAGAUGAGAAUCAUGCUAUCUAUAUGAGCUAAUGUUGGAUUUAAUGCUUUUAAACUUAAUUUGUACGCGGACAAAGUAUUUUUCGGAAUAUCAUUAUCCAAAACUAGUCCAAUAAAUUAAAACUUGUUUGAUGGAUCAUAAGAGCAUAUAAAAACAACCCCAACUCUCUCUUAUUUGUCUCUUAUUUAUAUGCGUUGCAUUUCAAUUGGUGCGAUUAACUUACAAAUCAAAAUGUAGAAAAUAAUUUCUAUGUUGGAGCUAUUUCAUUGUCACAAAUUAAGAGCAAAUGGAGAUAACCAUAUAUAACAAAUAACCACCCACAAUAAGGAGGAAUUAUUAAUUGCAUAGGUUUGAAAUAUAAAUAACACGAAAAUAAUAUAAUUUUUUUUUACCGUUCGAAAUGUCAAGAAUAUCAGCUCCAUAUUGUGGGUGGUUAUUUGUUAUAUAUGAUAGGAUAGCGAGUAUAACUUUCAUUAUUCCAGCUUUAUCCUCGAAAUAAAUGGUCCAAUAUGAAUUGUGUUUCAUAACUUUUCAAAAUUAGUUUCUAGUNUAAUUUUUUUUUACCGUUCGAAAUGUCAAGAAUAUCAGCUCCAUAUUCAAUAGAGCCCUAACUCAACAUUAAUCUCACAUUAAAUAAAAAUAAGAAUUUCAAGUUAUAUACAACAUAUAAAUAUUUUUCUAACCAUUAAGUUAUAUAUAAGAAUUUUACUCUCCAGUGAUUAAAAAAAGUAAAAUAUUUUUCUAUUAUUAGUAUUUUUCCUACCAACAGGCGACAACAAAAAGCUUAAAAAACCGAAGUACUCGCAAUUAGGGAAACGCAUAUAAUUACACGUUUAACAAAAAUCUUUUCAAGAUAAAAUAUUUUUACCAACUGUACGUGCAGUUCAACUGAUAUCGCCGCUUCUUCUUAACAACAAUAAAUAAGUAGAUUUUUUUUUUUUUUUUCAUACCAAAUUCUACGGCACAGUCAAGGCAAAGAUCAUGUUAGCUACUUCCCCACUAACUAUUUCAACCACUGCUAAAGAAACCAAAGAAACCAAAGAAACCAAUCCACUAAUCCAUCACUAUGUUUACAUCCUCUCUCUCUCUCUCUCUCUCUCUCUCUCUCUCUCUCAAUCUCAAUCUCUUAAUUAAUGUUUCAAAAGAAUAAAUAAAAAUAUCAAGUAUGGUCAAUUUGUUCAUUUACUUUUCCAGAUUCUGGAGUGGGUGAGAUUUAGAUGAAACUCCAACCCCCGAAUCUUCAAGCAAUUAAUAAUAAAGUUGGCUUCUUUUUUCUUUUUUCUUUUUUCUUUUUUUCUUUUUUUUUUUUUUUCUUUGAGCUUUUAACAUGCAUGAAACUCUUUUUGCAACUCCUUGCCGUGUUCAAAUAUGAUGCUUAAAGAAAAAGAGGCCGCGUAUUUUCAAACUUUACGGCUCUUAGGACAUUUGUAUUUCGAGUAGUAUUAGCUGGACCUUGUCCGCCACAUCAGCCGUGGACCGCAUAGUAAAAUUAAUUUUUAACUAGUGAAGUUAUCCGCGCAUUGCAGCGGACUAAUGCUAUAGAAGAUAAAGAUCGACAAAUUUAAAAUUUUAAAAUUUUUUGACUUGUCGUGAGAUGUCAAUAGAUACAAAUAGAAAAUAUAAAAUAGAUAUGUAUAAAUGUAGUAAAAUUUACAACAAUAAAUAAAUUAUAUAUAAUAAUAAUGAAAGAAACGGUAAUAAAGUUAUUACUCUAUAUGCAUCUUAAUUGUCCUGUCAAGAUCGGAGAGGUAAUUCUUGUUCUCCGCGUCGCCUCUGCCGCUAUUGUCGGCGUCGAGCUUUUCUUCGAUCAUGGCCAUGUCGAUGCCCUACGGAGCACCCCCCACACCCACUGCUUCUUCCUCAGAAUUCUAAUUUCAAUCCUCACAUAAUUUAAAAAGAUUAAAAAAUUAAAAAAAUAUAAAAAUUGAAUCAUUCUUGUACAUCAAAAAAAAAGAAGAAGAAGAAAAUGUGAUAAAAAGAGUAUGAAGAGAUUUUAUUUAUUAUUUUUUUUUAAAAGUAAUUUAUUUAGAUGAAAAUGAAUCAUGUGAAUAUAUUAAUUAGAAAGUGGGCAGUCCGAGAUGAGGUGGGAAGGCAAAGUAUCAGGGAAUGAGAAGAGGGGUGAAAAAAAAAUUACCACGUCGCAAACACCAUAAAAAAUAAUGUAUAGAAACUAUAAAUAUAGAUAUAGAUAUAGAUAUAGAUAUAGAUUCUAGAUAGCGCGAGAUGAUGUUGAUGCAUCUGAAUUGACUAAUUAUACAUAAACUUAUCGAAUUUGAUCAUUUUUCAUUGUCUGCAUUAAUUAAUUUGAUUAAAUGUUAGCAUCACUGCGCUUCACCAAAAGGCUAAGACUAUGUUCGAUAAUAAAAAGAAAAUACGUUCUGAUUCUAAAAUCUUACGAAGAAAUUAAGAAAACGUCUUAGUAAUUAUACAGCUCACGACUAACUUUAAUGCACAGGGUCCCCACAAUAAUUUUACACAUAUUUUGUCACAUCCCACGUUCUUAAUUUUCAUAAAUAAAAUAAUAAUAAUAAACUGGUGGUUAGAGCCUCAAACUGGAGGAAUUCUACACUGUCACACAUGCACCACGUCAUCAAUAACAAGCCAAUCACAUUCCUUCUUUUAAACAAAAGUACAAUAAAAAUACUUUUUUACAAUCAUGAUGGGACAUAUAUUCUUAAAAGGAUUAAUUUGAUUGGUUUGUUACGCCACAUCACUAAUAUACCCGUUGCAUUCUAGAAUUUUUCGCACUGGGGACCAAAAGGAGUUUAUUCUUGCCUUGGACUAAAGAUGAACGGGUAUAUUAGUGAUGUGGCGUAACAAACCAAUCAAAUUAAUCCUUUUAAAAAUAUAUGUCCCAUCAUGAUUGUAAAAAAGUAUUUUUAUUGUACUUUUGUUUAAAAGAAGGAAUGUGAUUGGCUUGUUAUUGAUGACGUGGUGCAUGUGUGACAGUGUAGAAUUCCUCCCCCCGUGCACACGGUCCAUGGAACUUGCCACGUGGGAGUGGGACCCACAGUCACUAUCUCAUUAAAUUAAGGGAAAACUUCAAAAACCCCCGUAGUUUCGUAGUUUCUCACUUUGCCGCCCCGUGGUUUAAAAUGUAUCAAAUUGUCCCCAUGUGGUUUCGUUUUUAUCUUUUCGGUAGCUUUUUCGUUAAUAUUUCAUUAAAUUAUAUACAAAAAAAACUUCAGAUAUCCAUCUAGAUUUAUCAAAUAUUCACUUUAGUAUCCUUUAAUUUUAACUUUAUCACUGAUUUAAGAAAAAACAAAUAAUAAAAUUGAUAAGAAAAAGAGAAAAAAGAAACCACAUGGGGGCAAAUUGAUAUAUUUUAAACCACAUAGGGCAAAGUGAGAAACUACGAAACCACAGGAUUUUUUUGAAGUUUUUCCUUAAAUUAAUCCCAUUGGAUAGUGGUGUGUGUACGGACAAUUUAAAAAAAAGGGGUUAGAUUUCAAAUAUCACCUCUGUGAUUUCACACUUUCUCAUUUUAGUACUCUAUAUUUUAAAGUGUAUCAAGUUAGUGUGCUGUGGUUUUAUUUUUAUCUUUUCGUCAGUUUUUUUAUUAAUAUUUUGUUAAAUUAUGUAUAAAAAAUUUCAGAUACUCUAUCUAAAUUUAUUAAAUAUUCACUUUAGUACCCUUUAGUUUUAAUUUUGUCACUGAUUUAAAAAAAAAAAUUAGUAGAAUCGAUAAUGAAAAUAUAAAAAUAAAACCAAUGGUACUAAAUUGAUACACUUAAAAUAUAGGGUAUUAAAGUAAAAAAGUAUAAAACCACGGGAUGGUAUUUGAAGUUUUUUUUUUAAAAAAAAAUGCCACUCACACCAACCUUUCUCUCUCUCUCUCUCUCUCUCCUCUCUCUAGAGAAUUUGUUGUAUAUACUGAAUAAUGGUUGAUAUUUUUAUUCAUUACUUUAAAUAUUGAAAAUUCCAUCUCUCGCUAGCGUGUUUACUAUUAGGGCUUUUUGAAUUUUUAGCAUUUUUGAGAAAUAUAUAUCAAGUGAUCUUUCUCGAAAAAUAAAAAAAAACUUCAGUGGUGAGCUUUCCAAUAAUGCCCCGUUAAGAAGACCCAAUUCGUCGUCAUGUGUUACUUUUAUAUCUAACCAAGAAUUAUAACCCUUUUUUCUAUGAUUUAUUUUUUUGUUAGAUUUUUAGUAUUGAAAAAAACACAAAACGAGUAGUUGGAUGGAGGCAAAACAAACACAUAGUAGUAGAUUGGAAGCCCUACAACGAGACCUCGUUAGGGAGCUCCCACUGAAGUUUUAUCCUGUCUCGAGAUAGUUCUUAAUGUGGGGUCAAGAAGAUAAUUCAAAGAAAGAAAGAAAGAAAGAAACUCUACUAAUUGUAUUAAUAUAUGUACCAGUCGUAUAAGCACAGUAUUCUAUAUAUGCACAUAAAAUUAUAUUUAACAAUAGAUAUUUCAAAAUCAUAACCUACUAAAGUAAAUGUGAUUUACAAUGUCUAAAAUGUCUAUAUAUAAAAAAUAAAUAAAAAUAACCAUUACGUUGGAUGGGUAAAAAAAAAUCAGCAUCAUAUAUAUAUAUAUUAUAUAUAUAUUAUAUAUAUAUAUAUAUAUAUAUAUAAUAUAAUAUAUAGAACUAGCUGGAAUACUAUUAAUAGCGACAAACCUAUUGUGCUAUUGAUUUUUAGUUCUUAGAUUAAGAAAUGGAUGGUUAGGAUGAUGUGGGCCUCUAGGGUUAAGUGAGUAGUUGGUUGAAUAGUAUAAUCUAACGGGUAAAAAUAAUCAGAGGGUUAAUCUAACGGUGGAGAAACUCGAUAGCACCAAAAUCCUUAGUGCUAUCGAUAGUACCCCAGCUGGACUCAUAUAUAUUAUAUAUAUAUUAUAUAUAUAUAUAUAUAUAGAGAGAGAGAGAGGAGGAGAGAGAGAGAGAGUCCGGCUACUAACUUUUAUGAGUAUUGGCUUCCUUAUACUCAUAAGCUUUCGGCCUUAGAUUUAUUCCACUGAUCAUUUCCAUCCGUUAGAUCAUACUAUUCAACAAACUACCCACUCAACCCUAGGGACUACUAUCAUUUUAAGUGGGGACUACCAUCAUUCUAACCACACAUCCCAUCAAUCAACGGUUAAAAAUUUAUGAGUACAAGGGGCCUAUACUCAUAAGAGUAUAGUAGCCCCAGCCUAUAUUAUAUAUAUAUAUAUAUAUUAUAUAUAUAUAUAUAUAUAGGAAGAGAGAGAGAGUCCAGCUGGAAUGCUAUUGAUAGCACGAAGCAUUUGGUACUAUCAAGUUUUCUGCGUUUAGAUUUACCUCCUUUAUCAUUUUCAUCCGUUCGAUUAUACUAUUCAACUAAUCACACACUCAACCCUAGAGGGCCCACAUCAUCCUAACUGCACAUCUUUUAAACUAAUGGUAGAAAACUUAAUAGUAUCAAGUCAUUGGUGCUAUUAAUAAUAAUCCAGCCUAGUUCUAUAUAUAUAUAUAUAUAUAUUAUAUAUACACGCACAUUCUUUAAACUAAUGGUAGAAAACUUAAUAGCAUCAAAGUCAUUAUAUAUAUAUAUAUAUAUUAUAAUAUAUACACGCACAUCUUUUAAACUAAUGUAGAAAACUUAAUAGCAUUAAUAUCAUGGUGCUAUUAAUAGAUUCCAGCCGUAAGUGUACUAUAGUAUAUAUUAUUAGUAUAGUAAUAUAGGUGAUAUAUUAAGGUUACGAGAGAGAGAGAGAGGGAGAGAGAGACGAGAGAGAGAGCUAGAGAGAGAGAGAGAGAGAGAGAGAGAGUCCGGCUGGAAUACUAUUGAUAGCACGAAGUAUUUGGUGCUAUCAAGUUUUCUACUAUUAGAUUUACCUCUGUGAUCAUUUUCAUCCAUUCGAUUAUACUAUUCAACCAACCACCCACUCAACCCUAGGGGACCCACAUCAUCCUAACCGCACAUCUUUUAAUUUAAAAACAGAAAACCUAAUAGCACCAAGUCAUUGGUGCUAUUAAUAGUAUUCCAGCUCUCUCUCUCUCUCUCUCUCUCUCUCUCUAGAGAACUUGUUGUAUACACUGAAUAAUACACUAUCUAAUAUAAUUGGUGGAUAUUUUUAUUCAUUACUUUAAAUAUUGAUAAUUCGAUCUCUCGCUAGCGUGUUUACUAUUAGGGCUUUUUGAAUUUUUAGCAUUUUUGAGAAAUAUAUAUCAAGUGAUCUGUCUCCAAAAACAAACAAAGCUUCAGUGGUAAGCUUUCCAAUAAUGCCCGGUUAAGAAGGCCCAGUUCGUCGCCACGUGUUACUUUUAUAUCUAACCAAGAAUUAUAAUCCUUUUCUCUAUAAUUUAUUUUUUUGUUAGAUUUUUAGUAUUAAUAAAAAAAACCAAACGAGUAGUUGGAUGGAGGCAAAACAAACACAUAGUAGUAGAUUGGAGGCCCUACAACGAGACGUCUCCCACUGAAGUUUUAUCCAGUCUCGGGAUAGUUCUUGAUGUGGGGUCAAGAAGAUAAUUCAAAGAAAGAAAGAAAGAAAGAAAGAAACUCUACUAGUUGUAUUAAUAUCUGUACCAGUCGUAUAAGCACAGUAUUCUAUAUAUGCACAUAAACUUAUAUUUAACAAUAGAUAUUUCAACCGAUCGUCCCUAGAGCAAGUGGCAAAAGGCUUGGUGGUUGGUACCCGAGACCCAAGUUCGAACCCUAGUUGAUUUACAUUUCUAGCUAAGUUUAUUUCUAAAUGAAAUAAACGAAGCGGAUAGCGUGCUACCUAUCUCUCAAAAAAAAAAAAACAAUAGAUAUUUCAAAAUCAUAACCUACUAAAGUAAAUGUGAUUUACAAUGUCUAAAAUGUCUAUAUAUAAAAAAUAAAUAGAAAUAACCAUUACUUGAUGGGUAAAAAAAAUCAGCAUCAUAUAUAUAUAUAUAUAUAUAUAUAUAUAGAACUAGACUGGAAUACUAUCAAUAGCACCAAGCUAUUGGUGCUAUUGAUUUUUUAGUCCUUAGAUUGAGAAAUGGAUGGUCAGGAAGAUGUGGGCCCCCUAGAGUUAAGUGAGUAGUUGGUUGAAUAGUAUAAUCUAACGGGUAAAAAUAAUCAGAGGGUUAAAUCUAACGGUGGAAAACUAGAUAGCACCAAAUCCUUAGUGCUAUCGAUAGUACCCCAGCCGGACUCAUAUAUAUAUAUAUAUACAAGCUGGAAUACUAUUAAUAGUAAAACGCUCUUUUUGCUAUCAAGUUUUUAACCAUUGGAUGAAAAAUUGUAGGGUCAGGAUGAUAUUAGUCGGUUAGAGUUGAGUGGUCCCCCUAGGGUUGAGUGGUCCUCACUGGGUUAUAGUAUUUAAUCCAAUGGUUAGAAAUAAUGAAAAGAGUUGAUCCAAAGGCUAAAAAACUGGUAGAGAACAAUGGAAUAUUUAUACUAAUAGUAGCCCAUCAACUAGUUAUAUAUAUAAAAUUCGGCUGGAAUACUAUUGAUAGCACGAGGCAUUUGGUGCUAUCAAGUUUUACUAUUAUGAUUUACUUCUUUCAUCAUUUUCAAUCCAUUCGAUUAUACUAUUCAACCAACCACCCACGCAACCCUAGGGGCCCACAUCAUCCUAACCGACAUCUUUUAAUUCAAUGACAAAAAACUUAAUAGCACCAAAUCAUUGGUGCUAUUUGAUAGUUUCCAGCCCUAACAUAUAUAUAUAUAUAUAUAUAUAUAUAUAUAUAUAGUUGAGAUAGAAUACUUUCAAAGCUUAAAGAGUGUGGUACUUUUGAGUUUUAGCCUUUGGAUGAAAAAAUGUAGAAUUGAGAUGAUGGUGAUAGGUGUAGUAGGUGGAAUAGUGUUUGAUGCAAAGGUAUUAGUAAUCAAGUAGUAGAUCGAAAGGCUAAAAACUUGCGAGCACCAAGGGGUGGUGCUUCUAAGUAUUCUAGCUCAAUUAUAUUUAUAUAUAUAUAUAAUAUAUAUAUAUAUAUAUAUAUAUAUAUAUAUAUAUAUAUAUAUAUAUAUAAUAAUGAGAUCCUAUGCUUUUAAAAGUACCAAGUCAUUGAUGCUUGUAAGUUUUCGACCCUGGAUUAAGAGAUGUGCGGUUAGGAUGAUGUGGGCCCUUAGGUUUAGUGGUAGUUGGUGAAUAGUAUAAUCUAACGGGCGUGAAAAUGUUCAAGGUGUAGAUCUAACGGUAACAGAUUUACAAGCACCAACUGCUUGGUGCUUUUACAAGCACCAUAGCCGGCUCAUCUCUCUCUCUCUCUCUCUUCUCUCUCUCUCUCUCUCUUCUCUCUCUCUCUCUCCUCUUAUUAAUAUAUAUAUAUAUAUAUAUAUAUAUAUAUAUAAAAUUGAAAUGUACAUUUUAAAAGCCUCAGAGCAUCACAAGUAAGUUUUUUUUUUGAGAGAUAGGUAGCACGCUACCCGCUUCGUUUAUUUUAUUUAGAAAUAAACUUAGCUGAAAAUGUGAAUCGACUAAGAUUCGAACUUGGGUCUCAAAUACCAACCACCAAGCCUUUUGCCACUUGCUCGAGGGAUGGUCGGUCAUCACAAGUAAGUUAAAUUCUAAUUUUGAGGUUUUUAUUCUAAAAUUUUUUAAAUAUGGUGUAUGAGAUAUACUUGUACACUUGGUGGCGGCAAUAAUGUCUCAUCUCUCUCUCUUUUAACUUUGCCUUCAAUGCAAGUUUUUUCAUGCUCGAAGUAUAUCCAUCAAAGAUCUCUUUCUCACACCAUAUGCCAUAAUAAAGAAAAAAAAAAAGAAAAGAAAAAGUAAACAUUAGGUCUAAUUAGAAGAAAUUAAAUAAGAAGACUCGAUACUUUUUCUCUAAAAGUGCCCUAAUUUUUUUAUUGUAAUAAGGCAAUCACAAGCAUGCUAUUUAAAUUAUUAAAGAGUAGACCGAUUGACCCGAUAAUUCCAGUCCUAAUCUCUUCCAAUUUUGAUGGUUCAAUGAAUUUAAAUGUUUAAAUUGCCAAAUAAUGAUCGAUAUUUGCUCAACUAUAUGUAUUUGAUUCUAUCUUAGCUCAUAAAUUUAUUCUCAAAAUCAGAACAAAUUCUGUCGUUUAUAAUAUUAACUAUUUAUCUUCAAAAUUUUAUGAUGUCAGAGACUCACGUUGUAAAGAUCAAACCUAUCUAAUCCAAUAAUAUAUAUAUAUAUAGAGAGAGAGAGAGAGAGCUGGAAUGCUAUCGGUAGCAAAUGGGUUCCGUUGCUAUUUAUUUGUUUUCAAUGAUGGAGCCUCAAAAUCGACGAUCGGUACUCUUGAAUAUGAUAUAUAUCACUUGAAGUAUAUCUGAAAAUCAAAUUUCAAAUCUUUUCAAUAUCAUUAGCCUAAUGAUCAAAGAAUUUCAAAAUUUGUAAUUUUAAUGGUCGAUAUAAGAGUUUUUUCGUUUAACGGCGUAAAGAUAUUCAAAUCAAUUGAAUUUUCGUUAGAAAAUUCUUUAAACUAUUUAGAAGAAAAUUUAUACUCUUGAUCUUGAUUACAGAACUCCUAUCAUCACUUUUUAAAAAGAUAUUCAUUUUCAGCCAUUCAUUUUCAUAUUCACUUAAUGGACAAGAGAACAAUAUCGAAAAAAUGUAAAAUUUGGUUUCUAAAUACUUCAAUUGGUAUAGAUUAUAUUCAACGUUAUCGAUCGUUGAUUUAUAGGCUCCAUCAUCACAAACAAAUGGAUAGUAAUGAAAUCCGUUUGCUACUGAUAGUAUUCCAGCUCAACACUCUCUCUCUCUCUAGAUCUCUAGAUCUCUAUGUAUAUAACACCCUACCCACAUAGAGGCUUUUAUUUUAUUUUAUUGCUAUUAUAAUAAAUAUUUUUUCUUAUUCAUUGGCUUGCUCACACACGCAUAUUUUAGAUUAUCCAAAGUUCUCCAAAUCUUAAUCCUCUUCAUUUUUAUUAUUUUUCUAUUGGCUGCGUGGAAACCAUAUCAACUUUUAAUCCCCUCUCCUAACUCACUACCUGCACGUUUUGUCCACAUAUAGGACCACAGCAUGAUCUUACUUAGUCUAUAUAAUUAUACCCAUAAAUAUCCACUAAUGUUUUCCCAAUUAUUAAAGCACAAGAUCUAAGAUCCAACGGUCGGCAAUCAUCCGAAAAAUUGCCAUAAAAUUCUAACCCACAAACCUAAUCAUGUGCGUGAGAAACUCUGUCCGGUUCUCUGAAUAUUCUGAUAUUCUCAUACCAUGUUAAACCUCUAAUAGCUAACUAUUCCGAUAGGAUUUGAACUCAGAAUCUCGUAUAAUUAUUAUUUUUUAAAAGUUUAGAAAAAUUAUAUAGAAUUAUGUUUUAAUAUUUUUAUACUUUUGAUAUUAAUCUAGCAGGUCCCAUGCUUCGAUAUCAUGUUAAAAUAGUGUGAAACAAUUACCGUUCUUCAAAAACUUGAGUUGUUAAAAAACGCUAUUUUAAUAUAUAUAUAUAUAUAUAUAUAUAUAUAUAUAUAUAUAUAUAUAUAUAUAUAUAUAUUCAAUAAUACCAGAGUAGAAGAUUCUGACUUCGAAUAUAUUCUAUAGUCUUAUUGCUUCAGCUCAAUUUUUUUCGAUUUAACUCAAGUUAACGUUUUGAAUCUGUAAAAAGUCUCAAAUCUAUGUGCGAGGAGUAGAGCUGAAUAUAAAUAGUGAAAGUGUCAAUUCUAGAAGUGAAAAAAGUGAAUAUAAAUAUUAAACACACUAUUGUUUCAUGAGAUGAGAUUUUAGAUAACAAUGACUAUUUCACAUCUAUUUAAUACUUGGGAACGAUAUAGGACAGUUAAGUCAAUGUGAAUUUAAUCUCUCCCUAUCAAAAUAAGGAGAGUUUAAACUUAAGCAUAAUUAAUUUGAAUUAAAUUUUAGUACAUCUAGAAGGUACUAGAAGGUACCAUAAUUUGUACCCCCACCCAAUGGAAAAAUUAUUUGAGUUUGAUAUUGUUCUAAAUAUUUGAUGGAAUUGUUACACGGGACCAUGUUACUUAAUUGGUUGGCUAGGAGCAGUGGACUUUUCUUCGAGUAAAAAUGUAUGAAGGCCCCUCAACUAUCGGUUAUUCUAAAUUAGGCCAUCAACUUUAAUAAUAAAAUUUAAUUUAACUUUUAAUUUUUUUUGAAAUUAUGAAAUUUUAGUCAAAAAUUUAAAAAUUUGAUCAUAUUUAUUGGUGACAUCACCAAUUAAUAUUUAAUAAUUAUUAUAAAAUUUAGUAAAUAUGAUAAAUGUUUUAGCUUAGCUAAGUGUAAAGAAAAUUCAAAUGAAAAAAAAUAAAUAAAUAAAGUUGAGGCCGUGUUUUCAGAUUUGCGUGUAGUUGAGGGGGGUCUUCAAACAUUUUCAUUUAUUUUAUUUUAUUUUUUUGAGGAAACGGCUCUAGCUAUGGCGGAUCUAUAAAGAUAAAGUGGGGCCCACUGUGGGCCACGUGGCGGGUGGGUGUGGGCCCCACACGUGCGUGGGGCGUUUCGGAAAGAAAUGGAUAACGAUCAACCCACUCCUCCCCCUCAACCGCGACCGUGGACCGAACCGGUCAACGGCCAAGCAGGGCCCGCCACGUGUCACGUCGGUCGACGUCACCGUGACGUCACGCUAUGGGGGGGACCGUGACGUGUCGACGAUCCGAGGUAGGAGAGAGAGAGAGAGAGAGAGAGGGGGAGGGUGGAGGUGGGGGAGCGGGGGAUGUUUCGGAGGGGGCGCGGCUCCCGAGGCGCACCGCCAUACGACCGGCCCGCACAGAAGUUUUCUCUGCGACACCAGGCAUCCGCCGUUGAGCCCCCGGGCGGCGCAGACGUGGCGCGCGAUUAAGGGCGCCCGCGGGGCAACGGGGGGCAGCGGAUUCGUCACGUGGGGGCGGGGGCCGCACGUGUGGGGGACCACGCGGGAGUGGGGCGCGGGGAGGCGCCACGUGGAGUGCUGGGACACGUGGAGGAACGCGAUUGGCUACGAGGUGGGUUCUCGAGGUCGCUGCGUUCUCACGGAGCUCUGAGGAUCUCUUUUUUUUGUUUUUUUUAUAAACUGAGCCCGGGUGUGGCCGGGGGUGGUUUUUGUGAACAUCUGGUAGCUUUCUGUUGUUGCUGGUGACCCGGGAUGGGCGUGUCGGUUAGUCUUGACCGACCGUUCGGUAGACUUCGCGUCUAGACGGAAAUUUGUGCCUAUUAAGCUCGCCAGACCUGUACCAUCUUAGCGCGAACACCAUUCAAUGAGAAUAUUUUUUUCUUAAAAAAUAAUUAAGAUACCAUUAUUAUAAUUUAUAUUAUAUUAUAUAUAUUAAGUUGUUUAUUUAUGAUGUAUGAGUGUGAAUGUAGAAGUUUAUUUUUUAAAUUUUUAUUAUUUAUAUUAUAUAUAUAGAGUAUGUACUGUGCUAUUAGGAGGCAAGGCAGCUUUUAUAGCUCCUUUAAGUUCUUGACCGCCCAUCAAAUUUGAUGGGUGGUUACGGUGAAAGGGAGAAGAAAAAUUAAAGAGAAAUUGGGUUCCUUAAUUUCUCUUCUCUUUGAAUUUCUCUCCAAUUUCUCUUUUCUCUCUCACCUUAACCACCCAUCAAAUUUGAUGGGCCAUUAUGAACUUAGGAGCACAAGGGCUGCUGUGCUCCUAAUAGCACAGUAGCCCUACUUUAUAUAUAUAUAUAUAGUAGUAAGAUUACUUCAAUACUAAAAAAAAUAUAUUUUCUAUUCAAAAAAUAAUUAGUUAGGUGAACUUAUCUUUCAUUCUAAAAUUUUUCAAUUUAACUGCUGUUGUUGGAAGUGAGCUUGAUUUUAACUGCUACAGUUAGACCUUCUCAUGCAGUUUGAACUGUAAAAUUAAAUUCAAAUAUAUUAAAUCAAAUAUUAGAUUUGAGUCUGCAUAAAUUAUUACUAUAUAUAAUCAAAAAGUAAUCUUUAAAGCAUAUUUUUAUUUUUUUAAUUCUAUGAUUAGAAGUGUGAUACUUUGCUUUUUUUUUCAAAAAAAAAAGCUUACAAAAUCGAUUCAAUACCAGAGAAUUAAAUAAAAAUAAUCUAAUAAUAAAGUUAUUUCACUUUCUCCAAAAAGCAGUGUUCCAGUGACGCAUUAUUAAAUUCAACAUUGUCCUAUGUAGCUAGACAACUUGGUUUUGAUAGGUUAUAAUGUUGCAUGAAUAUCAAUAUUAAAAUAUGGUUUACCACUACAUCAAAAUUCGGACCUAGCUAGAAUUUUCAAAAGACAAAUUAUUUAAUAUUUAUUUUGUAUUUAAAUGUAGUAAUAUCUUAAUUUAUCCUUUUCUUAUGUUGUAGGCUUUAUAAUGGUGUUGCAUGUUUACAUGUGAUUUAUUUUUUAAGAUGAUUCCUAUGGUAUGUUUGGUUCCGAAAUAAAUUUUUUUUGCUUACUUAUCGGAUAAGUAUAAUUUCAAGAAUAAAUAUAAAUAAGAUUAAUUUUACGUUUGGAUAAAAAGUAUGUUAUUUUUAAAAAUAAGAAAAAUAGUGUUUGGAUAGUUAGAUAGAAAUAAUAGGAAUAAGAGUAAUUAUAGUAGUUAAAUAAUAAUAUUUUAUAUACAAUUAAUUAACAUCAAAAUAUUAAGUAACUAAUAUUUAAUAAAUUAAUUAAUUAAUUAAUUUAUCAUGAAUAUUAUUGGAUAAUCAUAAAUGUUAGUUAAUAAAUUAAUUAGGACAUUAAUUGAUCAUUAAUUAAUUAUUUAAUUAACCAUGAGUACUGUUAAUUAAUAAAUUAACUAACUAUAAAUAAUUUGAUAAGUUAACAAAUUAACAAAUUAAUAUGUUGAUAAAAUAAUAAAUUAAUUAAGAACUUUUAUUUAAUUGGUUAUAUUGGUCAAAAUAUUCAAUUGAUUAAUCAAUAUAGAUAUUAGUUAUUUACAUAAACACACUAAAUAAUUAUUAAUUUUUUAAAUAUAUUAUUAUUAAAAUAGUUAAUUAUUAAUUUAGCAAAUUAAUUAAUAUAAUAAUAUAUAUAUAUAAUAUUAAUUAAUAAUAUUUUAUUAUUAAAUUAGUAGAGAAUAAAAGAGAAGAAAUUAUUAUUUUAACAAAAAAGUGGAACAACAAUUUUUCCCUCUUAAUGGGUUAUUAUAGAAUAAUUCUUUAAGAGGGGAUUAAAUAAAUCCAUUUCUCCCUCUAGUGUUCGGAUAAACUAGAGAGAUAAAGUAGUUUAUUUUCACUUUAUCCCUCAACCGAACACCGCCUUUAAUAAUAAGAGUACAAUUGAAUGUGAUUAAAAUAUUCUUGUAUUUGAGUAUACCCCCCUCUCUCUCUCUCUCUCUCUCUCUCUCUCUCUCUCUCUCUCUCUCUAUAUAUAUAUAUAUAUAUAUAUAUAUAUAUAUAUAUAUAUAUAAUGGGAGGGGUAAGGAAAUAAACUGAAAACAUCCAACUAUUUUUGUAGAUUUCGAAUGAGCAAGAAUCACAACCGUAUGUAAUCCGUCUUUGAAAAUCAAAAAUCAUUAUAAAAUUGUGAUUUUAAUAUUAGGGUUAAUUUCAUACAGGUCCCUAAAAAUAUAGCAAAUUAUAAAUAUACCUCUAUAAAGUUCAACUUUCAUAUAUUGUUUCUAUAAAAUUUCUAAUAUUUUCAAAUAUAUUUCUCUGAUUUGUUACCAUUAAAAUACUGUUUAUUUUAUAAAUAAAAAUGAUCUUUUUGUCAUCACAAAUAUAUCUUGUUAAUUAAAAAGGGAUAAAAUGGUCAGUUCACCUUAUUAACUAACCAAGAUUAAGCAUUUAACCUAUGGUUAACUAAAUUUGUCUAACGAAUUCUAACAGUAGAAAUAUAUAUGAAAACAUCAGGACUUCUGUAAAAAUAAUAUAUGAAAGUUAAACUUUAUAAAAAUAUAUUUAUAAUUUACUAUAUUCGUAGGAAUCUAUAUUCAAACUCUCCUUUCUCUUUUUCUCCUCAUUUUUUUCUCCGGAGUUUCACAACAGGUAAAAUUGGGCUUUCCAACAUUUCUUAGAAAGUCACUGAUAUUGUAUGCAGUUUACCUAAUUUGAUAAUUAGCUGGUUUCUGCAGUUGGGUUUGAUUUUUCCCACUAUUUUUUUUUGACCCAGUAAUCAACUGGGAACAACAUCUGCCGUAACACACUGUUCUACUUCAAAGUAGAAAUUGUUAGUGAGAGGUCAAUAUUUAUUAAACCUAUUCAAGUUUGUACCCUCUACUUUAUUAAUGUCUCUGCUACUGAAAAUGAAAUGAUUUAGGAAUUUGACUUGUUCUACCCUAACGUAGUAGCUCCCUAACUUCCAAGUUAAAAUUUUUAGAGAAAGCUUUAAAUAUCAUUUCUGUAGUUUCGCACUUUCUCACUUUAGUACCCAGCAAUUUAAAGUGUAUUAAUUUAGCAUUCUAUGAUUUUAUUUUUAUCUUUUUAUUAUCGAUUCUACUAAUUUUUUUCGUUAAAUCAGUGACAAAGUUAAAACUAAAGGGUACUAAAGUGAAUAUUCGAUAUAUAUCUGAAGUUUUUUAUAUAUAAUUUAACGAAAUAUUAACGAAAAAGCUGACGAAAAGAUAAAAAUGAAACCACAUGAUACUAGCUUGAUACAAUUGAAGCCACAAGGUACUAAACUGAGAACGUGCGAAAUCACAGGAGUGGUAUUUGAAGUUUAUCCUAAAAUUUUAAUUUGGAGUGCAUAGGAUAUAUCACAAACUAAUUAUAUAUCCCUGAAGGACCUAAAUAGGAGUAAUCAGGAGUAAUAUAGAAUACUAAAAGACCUAAUCAGGAGUAAUAUAAUAAUUUUAUAUUAAAAUAAUACUUUGUAAGAAAAAAUAUUUAUUCUGGUACUUACGUAUAGGGACGGCAAUCCAGCUAGUUGUUUCCGAUUCAGCUCAUGUUCGGCUCAAAAUAAGCUCGACAUCGAAUCACUCGUUUAGUAAACGAGCUGAAGUACGAGCUGAAAUUUUCAGUUUGUUUAAUAAACAAGCUGAACACGAGUUUGGGUCAGCUCACUGGCGUUCUCGAAUACAUAUAUUUUAUAUUUAUAUAUAUAAAUAAAUAAUUAUAUAUGUAUAUAAUAUAAACUUUUAUUAUUUGAUUUUUAGCCCAACUUAAAUAUAAAAUCAACUUAAUUAUAAAAUGGUUCAUUUAUAUAUAAAAUUUCAACAGUAUAACGGGUAAAAUUUUAUAAAUUUAUUUUCUAUAUAUAUUCUUUCAAAUUUUUUUAAAUUCUUAUUUAUAAGCUAGCUCGUACUCGGCUCGACAAUUUAACAACUUAGCUCGUGUUCGGCUCGUUUAUAUCCUACAACGUGAAGAUAUUUAUUUAAAUAUUAUUUUUUUUAUGUAAAAUUAGUGUGAUAAAAAAGAGUUUGUCGCCUAGUAUAGUAGGAAAGUGAAGUUGAAAAGACAUAUUUGAAUUUUAAAAUUUUCCAGCAAACAAACAGGAACAAAAAAAAGAAAAAAUAAACAAAAAAAAAAAUUUCCACGGAUAUUUUAUGAUAAGAUAAGAUGCUUAUCCUAGUUCGAAAGAUUUUCAAAGCGCAAUAAGAACUUUUCCCGCCUUAUGCGGAUAAUAAUAAUUCCCAAUCUCCAAAUUGUCCGCAUAAACGCCCUUCCGCAUAAGCAUCUAUUCCUCCUCAUCCGCAUAAAUCGCCCCGCACCGAAACCUCUAUGCGCCUGUCCUAGAGAAAAAAAAAAAAAAGAGAAAGAAAACGUGAUUCGAAUGGAAGCAGCGUCGUUCGUGGGCACCGUGUCCAAUUUCGAAAUGUUCGGGGGCAAUUUCGUCAUUUCAUAAAUUCCUGUUCCGGAUAACCCACCGGCUAUCGCCGGUUACCGUACUAUUCACCCCUUCUUAUACGAACCGCCUCCGCCGUGUUUAUCCCCUCUCUUCAAUCUUCAUCUCAUCGUCUUCUUUAGUAGGGGGGGAGCAUUUGGAAUAAGCUAUUCCGCUUUAUUAUCCCCCGAAUAAAUUCCUUUUAUUCUCCUGUUCUUAUUAUUCAAUCUCAGUAAUAAGAGAGAGAGAGAGAGAGAGAGAGAGAGAGAGAGAGAGAGAGUAGGGACGUGGUUUCGUGGCCUAUAUGAACGCGGCUUUCUCCUUCCUCCUCCGACUCUGCAACACCCAUCGAUAACCCUAACCCUAGCCCGAGGUUCGGGGAGGAGGAGAUAAGAGGAGGAGGAGGAGGAGGGGGGGUGGGGGAGAUGCCCUCGCUCUCGUGCGCGAACCUCCUCGACCUCGUCGCAGCGGCCGACGCCGAGCUCGCGUCCCCCGGGCGCGGCCCCGCGCGGCUCCCGCGCGUGAUGACCCUCCCCGGCGUGAUCGCCGCGGAGGCCGAGGCGGAGGCGGAGGCGGAGGCGCCGCAGUCGCCGGCGCCGGGGCCGGCGCGGCGCAUCGUGGUGGCGCACCGGCUCCCGCUGCGGUGCGCCCCCGACCCCUCGGCGGGGCCGAUCGGGUUCGCCUUCUCCCUCGACCCCGACGCGCUGGCGCUGCAGCUCCGCUCGGGGCUCCCGCACCCCGUCGUCCACGUCGGGGCCCUCCCCGCGGCGGCGGCGGCGGCGGCGGCCUCGGCCGGCGGCGGCGAGGUGGAGGAGCUGGCGCAGAUGCUCCUGGCGCGGUUCUCGUGCGUGCCCGUGCUCCUCCCCCCGGAGCUCCACCACCGCUUCUACCACGGGUUCUGCAAGCACUACCUGUGGCCGGUUCUGCACUACCUGCUGCCGCUGACCCCUUCGUCCCUGGGGGGCCUCCCCUUCGACCGCGCCCUCUACCGCUCCUUCCUCUCGGCGAACAAGCUGUUCGCGGACCGCGUGACGGAGGUGCUGAACCCGGACGACGACUACGUGUGGAUCCACGACUACCACCUCCUGGCCCUCCCGACCUUCCUCCGCAAGCGGUCCCCGCGCGUGAAGCUAGGGUUCUUCCUCCACUCCCCCUUCCCCUCCUCCGAGAUCUUCCGCACCAUCCCCGUCCGCGACGACCUCCUCCGCGCGCUGCUCAACGCCGACCUCGUCGGCUUCCACACCUUCGACUACGCCCGCCAUUUCCUCUCCUGCUGCAGCCGCAUGCUCGGCCUCACCUACGAGUCCAAGCGGGGCUACCUCGGCAUCGAGUACUACGGCCGCACCGUCACCGUCAAGAUCCUCCCCGUCGGCGUCGACAUGGCCCAGCUCCGCUCCGUCGUCGCCGCGCCCGAGACCCUCGCCAGGCUCCGCGACCUCUCCCUCGCCUUCAAGGACCGCGUCCUCCUCCUCGGGGUCGACGACGUCGACCUCUUCAAGGGCAUCGGCCUCAAGUUCCUCGCCAUGGAGCAGCUCCUCGAGGAGCGCCCCGAGCUCCGCGGCCGCGCCGUGCUCGUCCAGAUCGCCAACCCGGCGCGCAGCCACGGGCGCGACGUCGAGGGGGUGGUCGACGAGGCCCGCUCCAUCACCCGCCGCAUCAACGCCCGCUUCGGCCGCCCCGGCUACGACCCCAUCGUCCUCGUCGACCGCCCCGUGUCGACCUUCGAGAAGGCCGCCUACUACGCCGCCGCCGAGUGCGUCGUCGUCAACGCCGUCCGCGACGGCCUCAACCGCAUCCCCUACAUCUACACCGUCUGCCGCGAGCUGCUCGCCCCCGCCCGCCGGAGCGUGAUCGUCGUCUCGGAGUUCAUCGGCUGCUCGCCCUCGCUCAGCGGCGCCGUCCGGGUCAACCCCUGGAACGUCGACGCCGUCGCCGAGGCCAUGAACUCCGCCGUCGCCAUGCCCGACCCCGAGAAGCAGCUGCGCCACGAGAAGCACUACAAGUACGUGAGCUCCCACGGCGUCGACUACUGGGCGCGCUCCUUCGACCUCGACCUGCAGCGCGCCUGCCGCGACCACUUCCUCCGCCGCUGCUGGGGGAUCGGCUUCGGCAUGAGCUUCCGCGUCGUCGCCCUCGGCCCCAACUUCCGCAAGCUCUCCGUCGAGCACAUCGUUGCCGCCUACCGCAGGACCGCCAGCAGGCUCGUAUUGCUCGACUACGACGGCACCAUGACGCCGCACAGCUCCAUCAACAAGACGCCGAGCGCCGAGGUCAUCGCCGUCCUCAACGCCCUCUGCGCCGAUCCCAAGAACGUGGUUUUCGUCGUCAGCGGGCGCGCCAAGGAUGAGCUGAGCAAGUGGUUCCAGCCGUGCGAGAGAUUGGGGAUUUCCGCCGAGCACGGCUACUUCACCAGGUAGUCAAACAAACGAUCUUCACCUUCUUUAAUCGAGUGCAUUUUAGUACAAUGUUAUUGUUAUCUUGUUCAUUGUCGCCGAAUAAACUAAAAGAUGACUAGAAUUUGAUGAGAGCUUCGUGGCCAAUGCUGUGGCCAAUGCUGAGAACAGAGAAUCAGGAAACUCCCUGAUCAAGCCAUUGCCAAUCCAUUCACGUAACCGCGUAGAUGUUAUAUAUACUGCAUUAUAACUCUUUGUAAUUGGAAAGGAAAAUGCAAUGAGUUAGAAUGCAUGUGUUUUUGGAUCAGGACGGUUCCUGCGACGAGCAUUGAUGAAUGAAUGCACGGGAACUUGGUUGUCGUUGCAGAUCAUCGCGUUUUCUGAGGUUUAUUUGUGUUCUCACGAAUGCCGCUGUUGAUUUGCUGCUGCAGGUGGAGCCGCGACUCUCCGUGGGAGUCGUGCAACUUGACGGUGGACUUCGAUUGGAAAAAGAUCGCCGAACCCGUAAUGCGCCUUUACACAGAGGCGACUGACGGAUCCUACAUUGAGCGCAAGGAGAGCGCGUUGGUGUGGCAUCAUCAGGAGGCCGACCCGGAUUUCGGAUCGUGCCAGGGGAAAGAACUCCUCGAUCACUUGAAGAGCGUCCUCGCAAACGAGCCCGUCGUCGUGAAAAGGGGCCACCAUAUUGUAGAAGUUAACCCUCAGGUAAAUUUCCUUUCUAAAAGAAGGAAUUGAGUAUCAUUUUUAGCCGACGUUUAGUAUCAUAAGGACCCCAGUCUAAAUUAGAUCAAGUAAACAUACUUUUGAAACUAUGGGGCCAUAGAUUGUGAUAGACUUGUGGAUAACGUUUCUUCCACCUCACAUCCGGCUAUCCUAUCUCUCAAGCACGUAUUGCAAUAUAUAUAAUAUAAUAAUCGUCGUUAACACAAUUGUAAACUUAGUAUCUGUUCGGCCUCGCUUCUGAAAAAAUAUAUAUAUUUUUUAAAUUUUUUUUUGAAAAGGACCUUUUGGAAAACAAGUAGGUUAGAGUUUUUACUGUGUUGGAGAGGCCAAAAUGAACUGGGCUUUGGCUUCUGCUGCAGCGAGAAGCUUUGAGUAACUUUUAUACCAGCUUUUUCUUCAAACUGACCUACUCAAAGUUGCGUAAUUUUUUCUCUUCCUUGAAUUAUCCUUAGUAGGUUUCUGCAUUGAACUGUUAAUGAUGCUUAAAUAUGUUGUGGUUUAUGUGUGCAGGGAAUAAGCAAAGGAGUUGUGGUGGAAAAUCUCAUUUCGACCAUGGUGAGCAGAGGGAAAUCACCCGAUUUCAUAUUAUGCGUCGGGGACGACCGAUCUGACGAAGACAUGUUCGAGAGCAUCAUAAAUUCCACGAAUAACCCUUCGUUGCCAGCGAUCGCAGACGUCUUCGCUUGCACCGUCGGCAACAAACCGAGCAUGGCGAAGUAUUAUCUCGACGAUACCGUCGAUGUUGUGAAAAUGCUUCAAGGUCUAGCCAAUGCAUCGGCCCAGCUACCUAGACCGUCGGAGCGGCAGGUCUCGUUCGAAGGUUUGGUUUAAACUUCAAAUGAAAAAAAAAAAAUUACACGCGCUUUCGCCUACUUCGAUACGAGAAUGACAAGUUUGGUUGGAAAUUAAUGACCGAUAUAAACUCGAACCAGCUAUGCUAACCGGAAAAAAAAAAAAAAAAAGAUCAAAAAGGUGGUGGUGAAAAAGAAAUAAAAGGUUCAAAAUAUACCAAAUUUUAUCCUUCUUUUCGCUGUGUACAUAUAUAAGAAAAACUCUUCUUUGUUCAUGUAGAUGACUAUGACGACGACAACAGUUUAUAUGAUUUCAUCCAUUUGUUUUCAUAAUUUUCUCCUGUAUAAUGUCGAAUUCUUUCUCGUUGCAUAAUUCUUAUAGCAUGGGUUGUGAUAGAUGCGUCGAUUUCCGAUUAUUCAAUAAUGAAAUCUCCGCUCGUCGAAUCGAUUCGGGGAACUUUCCUUUUCUUUAGGAUGAUGACAUGGUCUCAAAAGACCGUUUCUUUUGACACUUACCGGUUGUAUGCUGUUGUAUUUUCCUUGUGGUUUUCAAAGUGAGAUUGAUGUUAACAUUUAACAUGUUGUUGGGCGUGUUUGAAUAGGAACUGAGGUGGAAUUGAAGAUGACUCUGAAAAGGACCUUUUAUGUAGUAAUUUUAUAUCCUUUUUAGCUUAUCUUUGUAAUAUUCUAUGCUAAAAAGAGGGAUUGAAUUGUUGUUAAUUUUAUGGUUUGGUCAAAAAUAUAUAAUAUUAAGAGAAGCUUGUGAGAGUGAGAUUUUUGCAUAAAUUUUGAAGCAUUUGAAAGGUGUUCUCUUUUACCUGUUUGCUGCUGCUUCUGCUUCUGCUUCUGCUUCUUCUUCUGCUUUUAGCAGUAGUAUAGAGCGUUUUAUCGAGAGAGCAAUUAGGAGAUUCUGCUGCAUUGGAAAGCAAAUUUGGAUUUCCGAAUUCCAAAAUUGAAAGUUUUAGGUUUAGUUUGGUAUUGAGAUCUAUCUGACGCUAUUAAAUAAAAUAGAAUUGUGAUAAAAAUAUAAAGGAAUAUGUUUCUGCAUUCUUCAGUGAAAUCGCAAAAAAUAUAUCGUAAUCGACUCAUCGCAAUAUGCGAAACGUUAAUACAAUUUUCAUUGCGAAAAAUACUUUCUUAGAAAGCACGCUGCCACUUUGUUUAUUUUAUUUAGAAAUUAGAAAUAAACUUAGCUGGAAAUGUAAAUCAACUAGAAUUCGAAUUUGAGAUAUCGAAUAUCAACCAUCAAAUUCUUUGUCACUUGUUCUAGAAGUUACUCGUAAAAAUGGCUAGUCUAAUAGUAGAGAGAAAGCGGGUCGGAGGAGGGGGUGACGUGUCGGUAAUCAGAGCCGUUCGUUUGCUGCCGACGUGGACUCGAGACCUUUCGUUGCGAUGGUGAUGGUAAAUGACUCCUUUCGGGGAACUUGGAUGCGAGACGUUCCCGUGCCGUGCAUUGAAUUGCUUGCAUCUCAUGAUGCAAUAUAUACACAAAUACAAAUACAAAUUACAUGAAAAAAAAAGAAAAAGGAAAAAAGAAAAAAAAAAGAAGCUAAAAUUGCAAAGAGUGUAUCCAAAAUUACAAGGCAUUAUUAGCUAGGUAUGUAGAAUUUUUCCGCGCACGGAUUCGUCCUCGUGGCAAAGUUAAGUUCUCUCGUGCUCAUUAAAAAUCUUGCAUGUAUGAUUGUAGCAAGCGAACUACUCUCUAUCUUUUAUUGAAAGUGAACUACAGCGAAUUAUUCUAUCUCUAUCUUUUAUCGAAUCCUAUGUUUGAACUACCCUUUCUUUUAUAGAAUCUUGUAUUUAAACUCGUUGGUUCAAAACAUCGGUUUAAAAUGCUUAAUUAAUACCCAUCUUACGUUCAUGAACAAUCUUGCACAGAGGAUUGUAGCUAGCAAACUACUCUAUUUUUUAUUGAAACAGAAGUACUACUACAACGAAUUACUUUAUCUCUAUCUUAUUUUGAAUCUAAUGUUUGUACUACUUUUAUCUUUUUUCGAACCCUAUGUGUUAACUCGUAGGUCCAAAAUAUUGGACCAGAAUACUUAAGUUCAAUUAUUAUUACUAUAGUAUAUAUAUAGUAAACCUUAUAUUAACUUGUUAGGUCCAGACUGCCGGUUCAAAAUAUUUAAGUUUAAUUAUUAUUACUAGAGUUCAUGAUAUUUUAUUGGAGCAUCAUAGCGAUGCAGAGAGACAAAAGUGUAGUGAACAAUCGGGAUUUCACAAAAUUAAGGCAUCAAAAUGCAAAAUUUUACCAUUCAAGUUCUUCUUCUUUGCUUGCAAAUAUCCCAUAAUAUCCCAUUAUUAGAGUGAUCUCUUCACGUUUUCUUUUUCUUUGUAAAGGAAAAUGCUUCUUUUCCUUCUUACUCUUUGUCAAAGUAAUUAUAAUGUUAGGUUCUCCUAAAUCUUUUAUUAAGCGUUUCGAUCAUGUUCUCUUACUCAUUGGAUGAUUGACACUUUGAGAGUGAUUAAACUAAACUCUUUUACAUUUAUAAUUACAUUUUUGUCUACAUUAUUGGAAUGAUUGUAUAAACGUGUGGGAGUUAAACUCUCUACGUAUAGUUUAAUUCUCUCUCUUAUAAAUUCCAUAUUUGACCGAGAGAGAGAGAGAGAGAGAGAGAGAGAGAGAGAGAGAGAGAGAGAGAGAGAGAGUGUGAGUUUGAAAUGGAAGAUAAAAUUAAAACUCGUGGAAAAGAAGCGUAGGAGACCAUCCUACACUUGGGAGAGGAAAAGUUGAUAAGAAAGUGUGGUUGUAAUUUUCUAGAGGCGACAAAUUGAAAGAUCACAAAUAUAAAAGAUAAGGAGAACUGUUCAUUAUUUGAAAUACCAAAACACCUUAGCAUAAGUAGAUAAGAUAUUUAACUAGAGGCGGUAAGUUUCGAGUUGAAAUUUGGAUUUGGACCAUGAUGGGGGAAAGAAAAAAAAAACCUCGGAUUUAGAUUUUCUUGAUGAAAUUCUCUCGGAAUUUUUUUAUUUUUAAUUUUAAGUUAAGAUAUUUUUGUCAAAUAAAACAAAAUUUUUAUUAGAAUUAAUAGCAUCAUUAGCUAGUGAUGAAUCACUAAUAAUUAAGAAAAUCAAAAACAAAAAAAAAAAGUUGAGCCAUAUCAAAAGAGCCCAUUUCAAUAAUGACCUACUUAUAUUCGUGGGAUCUCCAUACAAUUUUAUAAAAGAAGGAUAAAAAAUGAAGAAAACUUAUCCCAACUAUGGAACAUUUUGAUUGCCUACCCUUUUUCUCAAAAUGAAUUUGAGUCGAUCAACAACACUUUGAUUUCAAAAUUUCAAUGCGCUGUUUAUUUUUACAGAUUUAGUUAAUAUAUAUAACACAAUUCUUACAACUAUAAAUUUAUUAAGAAAGCAAUUAGCUUAAAUUAAAAGGUUGUAUAGUAAAAUUAAAAUUUUAAAAAUUUGGAUAGUUAAUUUAAAAUGAUCCAUAGUUAAGAUAAGUUCACCUAAAAGAAAAAAUAAAAAUAUUAGUGGGCUUUGGAAUAUGCAGUUAUAUUCCUUAGACUUAUCAACAACAACCGAAUAAAACUUUUCUAAAUUCUAACCUGACACGACUAAAUCUGCUUACAGUUUAGGAAACAUUCAAAGAAAAAAAAAAAAAUCACACAAAAGUCAAGUAUUUAUUUUUCUACGAUUUUUAUGUUUUCGGCGGCUCAAUAAUGAUUUUUCUAAUCGACCAUGAUUAAGUCUCCUAAUUAUUUAGGCAAAAUUCGAAGUAGAUUUUUUGCAACCCCCAAAAAAAGUCAAACAUUAAAAUAAUUUUUUUUUCCAUAUUUUUAUAAUCUGAAUUUGCAUGAGCACGUGAGUUAUUAUAUGUUAGUUGUCAGGAGAAGUAAUGGUGUAUCCUGCAUUAUUGGAGGGGACCCUUUUUUUUUUUUUUGUCUUGUUUUAAUUGUGGUUUUGUAGGCACUAAAAAUUUUGUGCACUGGACGAUCUGCCGCUCAUUAGCAAUAAAUUGCAUAUAAAUUAUUCCAUAUAGAUGAAGAUCCCUCAUCAAUCGCGAACAGCAUGUAAACCAUCUGAGACGGACAAUUUGAAUUUAACUUGCUACAGAUGAGCGACAGAAUCGCCCGGUGCAUAACAAUUUUUGUAGAGUUGCACUAAGUAUCACCCAAUUGUUAUAUAAAAAUUGGUUUUGAUUAAUUGCAAUGCUGUAGUAAGAACAUUUUAAUGAUUAUGUAAUUUUAAUGAUUGUUAUAUAAAUUUUGAUCCUAACCAAAAUUACCAAAAAAGAUAAAAAAGGGUUUCCUCUUGAACUCCUAGUGAGUUUCUCAAGCCUUUCUCAUCAAGCAUAUUCCCACAAAGUUAUUACAUGGAAAUUGCGAGAUCAUAAACAUCCUAGUUUCUUGGUACCACCUUAUAAUUAGUGAGGAACAUCACAACAAUGAAAUUGAUAGAAAUUCUAUGAAUAAUGAGUUAGUCAACAUAUUGAGCAUCAUAUGUGAAUAAUCCUUGCUGGAUUGGAGCAAGAAUAAAAAAUUCACAAAAAUAAUAUUUACAAUUGCCAAAAUCUAGUGUAAACUCAUUGAUCUCAAAACACUCUUUCCUUUUUCAAAAAUGCAGUAAAGCAAUAGGGGAGAGAGAGAGAGAGAGAGAGAGAGAGAGAGAGAGAGAGAGAACUAAGAUAAUAGAUAAAAUCUGUUUUAUCCGAGUCCUGGAGCACCAUCAUGUGGAAAUCCAUCUUUUGUUUCUGCAAGGAGAGAAAUGGCAUAAGAUGGCUCAGAAGACUGGAAAUGUUUAAUAAGAAGGAAUUGAUUAGCUUUGUCCAAGCAAAGGUAAACGAUGGAAAUGUGCAUUAGAAAGAGUAGUGAAAACCAAAUUUGCACGCACAAGCACCAAAUAAGAGUAGCGAAGGAACGAAAUCAAGUCACAAUGGCAUGAAUAACAUUAGCCAUUAGAUACUGUCAGCGCGUGUUCGUUGCAGAAGACGACCUUUUCAAAACUGAGGAGGCUAAAGAUAUUACUCAAAUAACUGAAACCACAUAUGCAGAAUGUGUUGAAGAGGUCAGCAAAUGCGGUUUUGCAAAUAGGGCAUAUCUUGUCUAGGCAAAAUUUUGGAUAAUUGAAUAUUAUAGCUGACAGAAGUAUUCACGAGGCCUAGCAGCCGACAAAAAGCGAAGAGCAUGUGAUCAGCCAAAUCUUGAUCAAUUCUGAUCGAGCUAAAUAUUCAAGGAUGUUUCACAUCAAUCAAAAUUUCAACAUCUUAUGCUAGCCUUUCAGUUGCAUUAGCUACCUUGGCUGGGUUCCUGACAGGGAGAAUAAGUUUCAAGCUCACUGCAUCGCAACUCAGUCCAAUAAAAUAUUAAAUGAAUAUAUGCUAUGGUAUGUAUGCUAUUGAAUAUAUACUAGUGUGUAUGAUAUACACAACGCGUACACGGUAUAUAUACUAUUAAAAAACUCAUUAUAUAUUACUAUAGUACUAUACAUAACAUGCGCUGUAGGAAAACAGCAUGCAGAGCCCUUUCCCAAGCAGGCAAGAUUGCCGACACACACUGUAUAUUAUAUAAACAGUAUAAUCUACAUGCUAUAUACUUUAUAAUACAUUAUAAAACAUAGUGUGUGUGUGUAUUAACUACUAGUCUACUACAUAUACUAUAGUAUAUACAUACUAUACUAUACUAUAUAUAAAACUAUAUGGCAUAUUAUAUAGUACAGCAUACUAUAUCAUACCAUGUAAGAUACAACAGUAUACUGUUAUAAAUACUACACACUAUAGAUGCUAUUAUAUAUAGUGGUAUGCUAUUAUAUAUACAGUACUAGACUAUAAUAGUACUAUAGUAGUAUACAUAGUGAUAAACUGUAGUACAAUAGUGCUAUAGUGUACUAACUAUUAUUGUAUAGUGUAGAAUUAUAGUAUAUAUACACUAUAGUUCUUUAUUAUAGUAUACAUAGUAAUAAGAAUAUAUACUAUAUGAGUAUAUACAAUAUAACUGUAAUUUUUCUUUGUAUAGUAUACUAUACUAUAUAGUAUAUGAUAGAACUAUUAUACAUAUAGCAAUACGCUUAACACAUGCAAGUUGAACGUUUGUUUUCAGGGAGCUGACAGAAGGAAAAGAGGCUCCUAGUACAUUUCGCUAUAGUAUAAUGUACUAUAGUGAUAAAAUUAUACAAUAAUAUAAGUCCUAUAAUAUACUAUAUUACUAUAGUACUGUACUAUAGUACGAUAGUGCUAUAAUGAACUAUUGUAUAUAUAGUAUGUUCUAUAUUAUAGUAUAUAUAGCAAUAGAAUAAUACUAUUUUAUAUAUAGUAUGUGAGUCCGGCUGGGAUACUAUCGAUAGCACCAAGAAUUUGGUGCUAUCGAAUUUUCCACCGUUAGAUUUAAACCUUUGAUUAUUUUUACCCGUUAGAUUAUACUAUUCAACCAACUACCCACUCAACCCUAGGGGGCCCACAUCAUCCUAACGGCACAUUUUUCAAUCUAAGGGCUAAAAAAUUAAUAGCACCAAUAACUUGGUGCUAUUGAUAGUAUUCCAGCCUAGUUCAUAAUAUGUUCUGUACAAAAUAUACUAUAUAAUACACAUAAUAGAGUAUGUACAUUCUAUAGUACUACAGUAUAUCAAUAUAUUACAAUAGUACUACAGUGCUAAAAUGCUAAUGUGCUAUAGUAUAAUAGUGCUGUAAUACUGUAGUGCUAUAUAGCACUAUAUAAGUCAUUUCUAUAGUACAGUGUGUAUCACUUCAGUAUAAAAGAACUACAGUGAUAAAGUGCUGUAGUAUGAAACAGCUAUAAUGUACAGUAAUAUAAAGUACUAUAAUAUAAUAGUUCUAUAAUGUACUAUUAAGUAUAUCAUAGAACUGAUAGUAUAUAUUGUAAUAGCAUAUAUAAUAUAUACUUAGUACAUAUACUAUAGAAUAUAUACUACAUAUAGAAGCAUAGUAUACAUAACAUAGUACUCUAUUACUUUAUUAGCAUACUAUGGAAUAUAUAGUAUACAAAGAACUAUAUUUAGUGCAUACAUAUUAAUAGAACUAUUUGUACAUAUACAAUAGUAUAAUGUACAAUAGUAAUAUAGCACUGUAGUAUAAUAGUCCUACAGUAUAAGGCCCUAUUUGGAUACUCUAUAAAACGUAGCAUAGUCAACUAUGCUAUACCAUAGGAAAAUUAUCCUACGAAGUGUUUGGGAGGCUCAAUAGAGCAACUAUUUUUUGAAGUAUAGUUAAAACUAUGGCACAUAAUGGAGUAAAAUAAUAAUUCACUCCAAGCAAAAGAAAAAAAGUCCAUUUAAACUAAAAAAUUUCAAAUUAUAGUAUUACUAUAGUAUAGAACUAUUGUAUGUAUACUAUAAUAUAAUGUAUUAUCGCAAUAUAAUACUAUACUAUAAUAGUUCUACAGUACAAUAGUGCUAUAAUACUAUAGCACUAUAUUAUUUAUACUAUAGAAUAUAUAAUUUGAAAUUUUACUAACAGUACUACAUUAGUAUAUCAACUAUAAAAUUCGUAUAACUAUAAUGUACUACAUAGCAUACAAUGCAAUAUUAUAUCUACUAUAAAUUCCANGCAAUAUAAUACUAUACUAUAAUAGUUCUACAGUACAAUAGUGCUAUAAUACUAUAGCACUAUAUUAUUUAUACUAUAGAAUAUAUAAUAUAUACAGAACUAUAUUGAAUAUAUGUAUAGUUCACAUUCAGCACUAAUGAGGUAUGUAUAACUAUAAUGCAGUAGUAUAUAUAUUAUUAUAUAUUCUAUAGUACAAUACUAUAGCAUAAUAUAAUACAUAGUAUACUAUAGCAUAUUGUUGUAAAUACUAACAGUACUACAUUAGUAUAUCAACUAUAAAAUUCGUAUAACUAUAAUGUACUACAUAGCAUACAAUGCAAUAUUAUAUCUACUAUAAAUUCCAUAUUACUAUAUUCUAUGUAGUAUGCUAUAUAAGUAAAUAUAGUUUACAUCUAUACUAUAGUAUACAGUGCAAAGAAUGUAAAUUAUAGUACACUACAACAAAGUAUGCCUUAUACUACAGUAUAUACACUAAAGUUAAUGUAUAUAAUACGUGCUACUAUAUAGUAUAAUAUAUAGAUAAUAAUAGUGUUAUAGUAAUACAUACGGACUGUUCGAACUUCGUAUUUUGGAGGAAACUUUUUUUUUUUGAGAGGAAAGCCCGUAAACAAAUGUUAUUAAAUAUUGACAGCAUACAUGUGGCAAAAGAAUCACUCAAAAGUGGAGUGGUAACGUUGCAUGGCUCCAUUAACCCAACAUAACUGAAAGAGGAAAUAAAGAAAAAGGAGCCAAGAGCCGGAACACAACAGUCUAAACAGCAAGCUUUGGAGAAGAUGGGCACCAAACCCAGAGAAAGAGUGGAAAGCAACCACGAGAAAGAAAAAGAAAGAAAUAACAAGCUGAAAGCCAAACCUAAAACACUUGAAGAGCACUCAAACAAAGUUACCAAGCUAGCCGAACACAUGACCAUUGACCAGCUAUACGUGAUUCAUGUUAAAACAGAAACAAACAAAACUUUGAAUAAACUGGUACAACUGGUUUCGAGAACACACGAAACAGAGCUAUCUGCUUGACAGAAGAGAAUGCACAUGAGUCGCCACCAGAACAAGGGAAUAGAAAGUUUCAUGCACACAUGUUUGGACUAAAACAAAUAUGUUGAAUAAAGUAUGCAUGAAUGCCAAGUGUUGUUGCCCCACCUCCAAGCUUCACACCGGCAGACGUCAUCGGAGAAAGUCACUUAUUGUCACAUAGAUCAGUCAGUCAUCAGAGACAUCAAAAGCUCUGUCAAACAUUUCCAAACUGAUGGGAAGUCAAUCAAUGGCCACCGACUAAGCUUUCUCGAGAGUCUAUGCGACAUGAGAAACCUCGUACAGGCCCCGAAAACCCUGUAACAUAGUUCUCCAAAACAUAUGUACAGUAGUACGAAGAAAAAGGCAAGAUGAUAGAGGAUAGAGAGGAGAUGAUGGAGGAAAGAGAACAAAGAUGAGUAGAGAGAAGGGAGAUGGAAGAAAAAUAGGUAGUGAGAGAAGAAGUGUAAGCUGGGGAAGAGGGAGUAGGGAGCGCUCGUUUCAGUUCCCCUCCAUGGGAGCAUUGGGAGGGGGGUUAGAGCUCCCUCGUUGCGAGAACACAACUAUUGCACUAUGUAUGACCAAUCUCCUGAGUUAAUUCUCACUUGGUAUUUUGCACUUUGCAAUUUCAGAUUGAUAAAACCUCCGAUGGUUUAAUUUAACAACGCAAAGGUUAAGAAGCAUGUCAGAACUGAUGGAAUUUCAUUUUCCCUCCAUAUUUCAUACUUAGGAAAGUUUACGGAAAGGCCAACUUCGUACAGAAGAAAUAAACAGAAACAGAGAUAAAAAAAAAUUCUUGGAACUAAUAGCUAAUGAAAUGGCAGCGAUGUAACAUAAACACAUAUAGCAUGUACCAGCCAAGUAUUAGUAAACUUCCAAACUACACAUGCAAACUUAGAGGUAUCCUUCAUCUCCUAUUGAGCUAUGUUGCAGAAGCAAAUUAAAGCAUUCAUUUUCCUAAACCAAACAAAAUAAAUUAAGGCUUAUGCUAACAUAUCCUUAGAAAAAGAUGAGGAACUCUGUAACAGUACACUCCUAAAAAGCUAAUUUUUGUUUUAGCCACACCCAGAUUAAUUCCCUAAGCUACAAAAUCAACCAAAAAUGCAAAAUCCAGAAUCAAUUCGAAAAAGAAAAGGAAUCCUAAUGCCAUCCAUUAACAUAAAAGGUAAAAAUGUAUCCAUUAACAUAAAAGGUAAAAAUGUAUGGACACCGCGCAACUAUGGAUCAUUUUAAAAUGAUGGCUAAAUGUUAACUCUUUUAAUAAUUGAUACCUCUUCAAGUUUUGUUUGUUUUCGUUCCAGUUAUUUGCAUCAUGUGAAAUUGGGAAUUGGAGACAUUGAUUAAAAUAAAUGGCACUAUUUAAAAAACUCUAAAAUUUUCAUCCACUAAAAGGUGGCAAAAGCCGUUAAAUUCAACAAAAUUACCGUCAAAUUUGAUGAAACUCCCAGUUCAUAUAAUGGAAAAUAACUCAAUCAAAACAAAAGGAAAAGUUAGACUUAACGAUUAGGAAUCUAUUUAAUAUAGCCUACAGUUUGAGGUGGUCUUUACACAUUUUUUCAACAAAAUACUACUACAAAAUCCGAACAAAUUGCCAAAUUGCAUGACAUGGAAAAAUUCAUAAAAAAAAACGUCGGAAACAAUCUAGUAGUCCUAAAUUAUGCACCAAAACCAAUUUUUUAUAACAAAAUCAGCACAAAAUAAGCAAAAUUGGUCCAAUUCUUAGCGUUUCACCAGUGUAUAAAUCGCAUUACCUAACCAGAUCCAACGAUAAUGUUGUUGAUGGGGAUAAAGAUGAGCUUCACGAAGAACCCUACGAAUCCCAUCACCACGAAUUCGACAGCGGUGCGAACAGCGACCUUGGCGAACUCUACAGUGAAAAACCGAUCAAAAAUAUCAAAAUGAACACGAAACGAAGCACUAAAACCCUAAUUAAAGGCUCGAGUCGAACGGGGAUUCGGAAUCGAAGUAGCUUACCUUUGCGAUCGGGUUUGUGGCACCUCUUCACGAGGCGACCGCUAUCCUUGGCGAACUCCCUCAAUGGAUCGACCACCGAAUCCAACGCAUCCCAUGGAUGGGGUGAGAUCGAAGGAUCGAAACCCUAAUAGAGAUUGGGGAUUUUGGGGAAACCGCGAGGAGUAGAGGAGAGUCGAGAGAUGAGAACGGAGUAGUAAAAAGGAGCAACGAGAGAAGGUAAAAAAACUGAGAACCCCCUACAAGUUACUUUAUUAACCAAAACACUCCCAAGUCCCAACUAUUAAACGUAAAGUGUAGAGAAACCCCCCCAACUACAAUUUUUUAAAAACAUAUCCAAAACUAGACGAUAAUUUUAAGCAAUUAAAAAAUUAGAUUUUUGUGAAACCUGAUGGUGAUUCUAUUAUAAAUUUAAGGGUAAACUUCAAAUACCCCCUUGUGGUUUCACACUUUCUCACUUUAGUACCCUGUGGUUUAAAGUGUAUCAAGUUAGCCCCCGUGGUUUCGCACUUUCUCACUCCAGUACCUUGUGAUUUAAAGUGUAUCAAGUUAUAACCUGUUGUUUCAUUUUUCCCUUUUUAUAAUUGAUUUUACCUUUUUUUUUCGUUAAAUCAGUGACAAACUUAAAAUUAAAGGGUACGAAAGUGAAUAUUCAAUAAACCUAGGUAGGGCAUCUGAAGUUUUUUUUGUAUAUAAUUUAAUGAAAUAAUAACGGAGGAAAAAAAAUCAGUGACAAAGCUAAAACUAAAGGGUAUUAAAGUAAAUAUUCAAUAAAACUAGGUAUGGUAUUUGAAAUUUUUUGUACAUAAUUUAACGAAAUAUUAACAGAGGAGCCGACGAAAAGAAAAAAAUAAAACCACAUGAUACUAAAUUGAUGCACUUUAAAUCACAGAGUACUAAAGUAAGAAAGUGCGAAACCACAGUGUACUAAAUUGAUACACUUUAAACCACAGAGUACUAAAGUGAAAAAGUGCGAAACCACAAGGGUGGUAUUUGAAGUUUUUCCUUUUUUUUAUUAUUAUUGUCACCUUAGUAGGGACAUUACCUUCUAAUACAUUUAUGAAAUGAUUUGUGUCUUAUUCUUCUCAACAUUGUAUUUGGGGAAUUAAAGAUAGAUAACAAAUAAAAAAAAGAAAAAGAAAAAGAAAAAAAAAGAAUCCCUAAAUUCUAAGAUUCUCAAUACAUUGCAAUAAAUUCGUAUCGACUCAUUUGCUGUACAGAAUUUAAUUGGAAAGGAUAAUCCAAGAGAUUGGUAUUGCGAGAGAGUGAGAAAGAGUUAGUGUGAUCGAAGAUAAUUUUAUUUUAUUUUUUUCCAAAUCUAAUUGCAUCCAAUCCCAAUAUUUCAAAUCUGAUUUGAUAACAAAAGGAUGCUAAUUAAUGAAAGGAUUUAUGAGAUUAACUUAUUAUAAUGCAUCUUUUUCUCAGUGAGGUUAAUUACUGAGCAUCAUUCUUAGGGGUGUCAACGAGCUGAACACGAGCGGGCGGGGUCGGCUCCUGUUCGGCUCGUUUCAUAAACGAGCCGAAUACGAGCUGGCUCGUUAAAGUAUCGAGCCGAAUACAAGCUGGCUUAUGAAUAAGAAUUUAAAAGGAUUAGAAAAAAUAUAUAUAGGAAAUAAAUUUAUAAGAUCUUAUCCAUUAUAUUUUGAUCUAAUGAUCAAAAUUUUACAUGAAAUGAAUCAUUUUAUAAUUGAGUUGGACUUUAUAUUUAGGUUGGACUAAAAAUCAAGUAAUAAAAAUUUAUUUUAUAUACAUAUAUAAUUAUUAAUUUAUAUAUAUAAAUAUAAAAUAUAUGUAUUCGAGCUAUUAUCGAGCCGAACACAAGCGAGCUGACCCCAGUUCAUGUUCGGCUCGUUUAUUAAAUGAGCUAAAAAUUUCAGUUCAUGCUCAGCUCGUUUACUAAACGAGCGAUUCAAUCUCGAGCUUAUUUCGAGCCGAACACGACCUGGCUCGCGAACGAUGAGCUGGAUUGCCGCUCCUAAUCAUUCUAUAUGAUUGCCAUCACAGAGAUUUAAUACAAUUUUGGACAAAUUAAAAAAUUCUCAUAUAUAGUCAAGGGAACUGACCAUUUCUGAGCUUUUUUUUUUUUUCCCUUAUCUUAAUUAACAAUUUCUAGUGUAUACUUCAUAUUGAGUAAAAACAGAUCGUUCCUAACGCAAGUGGCAAAAGGGCUUGGUGGUUAGAUUGGUGGUUAGUACCUGAGACCCAAGUUCGAAUUCUAGUUGAUUCACAUUUUUAGCCAAAUUUAUUUCUAAAUGAAAUAAACGAAGCGGGUAGCAUGCUACCUUUCUCUCUCUCAAAAAAAAAAAAAAACAAAAAAAACAAAAACAUAAUGAAUAAAAACAAAGGCAUAUCAUUGAUGCAUACAAUUGUUGUUCACUAUUACAAACACCCCAAAAAGAGAGAGAAUUAAAAUGUUUCCCUAACCUUAGUUAGGCAAGUUGUUCAUCAACACUGGGAGUAUGAUCAUCAAUAACCCUUGUGUAUGUGAAGCUCCUUGCUACAUCAUUCUCCUUCUCUUGGCUCAUUUUGCACUCACAAUAAUACACACUAUAUACCAUGCAAGAGAACAUCUUCAACAACAUGUACACACAAAACAUAACCAAUCCAUUGCCUCUCUUGUUUACUACAUGAGAUCCCCCUCCAUUUGUUGUCUCAAAUAUGUAUCCCACAUUGAGAACACCAUCCCCUAAGAGAAAUACAAUAGCAAUGAGAUAGCCUUGCAUCCUUUUACCCUUUGUAACAUCUUUUGCCUUGUCUAAUGCCUCGAGUCCGUAGCAACCUUCUUCGACAAUCGAGAUCACCAAACCAACCAUCCACACCAUGGCUAAGUAUACGUAGAAAAGGCGAGCUGUGACCCCAAGAAGUGCGAAAAUCGCGAUCCGUAGGAUCGACCCGUCGGCCUUAAGCAAAGGAAUAGCUAUCAAGGAGAUUGAUAGAACACUAUAGCCAACAUAUAGUAGUGUGAAGUAGAAUUUUGUCACUAAUGGACCCUUCCAUGAUCCUUUGAUUCUCAACAACAAAUCCGUUGCCGUCAAUUGCUUCUUUGAAUAAGUUGUUGAGGAGGAAUACACGAUGAUCAUGAUUGAAAGCAGAGAUAGGAUGUAUGAGAAGACCAUGAAAAUUGUAUCGAAACGCAAUAAAGCUGCUGCCUCGUACUUUAUUCCGAGGAGUAGAUCAUAGAAUUGCGGAGUGUUGGGGUCCUUCUCACUAAGGAGGUGUAGCUUAAUGAAAAAGCUCAAAAGCAAAGGAUAUAUAGGAAUAUAGGAGUUACCUAUAAAGGAAAAGGUGCUUGUGAGGAAAGCCAAAAGCAUGGUUGGAAGCAUGAGCUUCUUGUUCCUUGUUGGGAGAUAAAGGGCUUCUCUAAGAAUUUCCGCAACACCGAAUUGCCUCGACGAAUCCAUGGGAGAUGGAGGCUCCUUAGACAUGGCUCUCUAAAGUGAUAAUCUCUUGAUCACAAUAUGAGAUGAUAUUUUUGUGUCUAAAGUGCUUGUUUAUAUGUAUAUAUUUAGCUUUGAUCUCUUCGCCUUGAAUAGGACAUAAUAACUAACUUUUUCCUCCAUUUUAUCUUAAUCUUUUUUUAAUAACAUAUGUGAUAUGGCGAGAACAACUAUAAUUUGAGAAUAAACAUAUUUUUAAGGACAAGUUACUACUAUUCCAACCUACCAAAAUACUAGUAUAUAUUUAGCUUAUAUCAAUAAAGUGGCUUGUAAAUUGGAAUUUUACAAACCUAAGAACACUAAUAUUCUCAUAUCAAUAAGAAAUACAGUGACACUCAAAUUGUUAGCUAGUUUUGAAUUUGGUGGUAUCUUAUUUUAUUCAUUUUUUUUUUCUUUUAGUCACUAACUCUUUUGCUUAGGUUGGAAAAUAAUUUCAUUAGUUGUUGCAAAUAAGCAUAUAUAAAAAUCUCCUUUUCUUUUUGUGGUGUGUAAGCAUGCUCUAGUGAUACUACAAUUUCUUGGUAAAUCAAUCUAAAACCUCUAGUACUCAAAAGUCAAAAAUACUAUCUACUUGUGUUCUCAUUAAUUAAAUAUCUGUGGAAUACCAAUUAUUGAUUAUGACAUAUUAUCAAGUAAAGAGGAAUUAUGGAUUCAAGUUUUUAGUUUUUUCCUUUUUUUUAAAAAAAAGGGAAAGUCAAACAGAAGCUUCAUGAAGCAAAAUAUCAGUAGGUCAUCAUCAUAUCAUUUAUCCUCUAUUAAUAUACAAUAUAUACUAACUAAAACAGACAAUUCAAAAUACCAUGCAUAUAUAAAUAAAUAUAAAUUGCAUUGAUUAAUUAGUUUGAUUUAGUUAAUUAAGUUUGCUGGAGAGAAUUGAUUGAAACAAAAGUUGUAGUUUAGUGCAUUAACUGCGAGAAAUUCGAAUUCAGUAAUCAAACUGAAAUCUUAACCUGAGCACAGUUCGGGGAAUGUUUUGCUGUCACCUACUGAUAUUUUUUUUUCCUGCUUUUGCCUUUUCUCUUAUAAUUUUUACAGGCGUAGUUGCCUCACAUCUGUAGCUAAAUUUAUUUUUAUCAAUGAAUGAAGCAGAUAGCGUACUAUUUUAUUCUCAAAAAAAAUAAUCAAACUGAAAUCUUUUCGGAUGAGAGAUAUAAAGACAUCAAUACAGAAUUAUGACUUAACGGAUUGUUUUUUCUCAAUCUUAUUAUAUACAGCUACUCGAUCUUCACACUUCAGUGUUUUAGUAACUAAAUAUUCUUAUAUUUCGUAGUCGCAUCUCUCAUCCCCAUUUUACCAUUCAAAGAAAAAAGAGAAAAAAGAAAAGCUCAACAAGUCUUAUAUAUGUCUUGUGCUUCAUCUCUUCUUUUUUUUUUUCUUUUCGAAAUUGUAGCAUCAAUACUCCACUCAGAAAAAAAAGAAAAAAGAAAAAAAAAAAAAGACUAGCAAAUGGUAUGUUAGAUUAAUACAGUAGGCUAUUGGUUUAAAAUGCUCAACUUCAAUGGAAAAUGGUUGCACUGCUAAUUUGUGGCAAAAACCGGUUUAAGAGAGCGGAUUUUAAUAUUGACAGAUAAAUUUAUUAGAUUUUCUUGCUGUGUAUUAACUAAAUUUUAUCAGAUUUAUGCAUUUGACCAAUUUCUUGUAAAUUUGGCAAUGUUAAUAUCACUUUUCUUAGUAAAAAAAAAAAAAAAAAAAUUCUCUUUCCAUAUCUACCUAACUAAAUACCAUAGGGAGUAGGGAUGCAAAUGGAUGCACGUUGUUGGAACUCCCGUCCUGAUUCGCUCCGAAUCGCUAAUUAAAUGGAACAGAAAGUAGGAGAUUCAUUUCUUUUUUUGAUCCGUCUCGAUCUGCUAAAAAUCUACAAAAAAAUCUCUCCAGCUUCGAUUCGCACUGCAUAGAGUGGUAAGUGGGGGCCAAAAAUAGAAUUAAAAUUAAUCUAUUCCAAAUCUAUUUCGAUUUGACAAGAAAUAAAGUGGACGGUGGGAACCCCUCCUGCAUCUGGAUCCGCCCCGUUUGCAUCCCUAAAGGGAAGACUUUAAUUUCCCCAGCUCCAAAGAGGGGUCUUAAAAAAAAAGAAAAAAAGAAAAAAAAAAGGGCUGGAAUUUAUCUGGUCCUAAAUAAAACCCAGCCUAUUGGGCCAACCCAGUAUGGGCUUAUCUUUGACAUAGUCUAGUCAUUGGUCUUUGCCAAUUAUUCUUUAGAUUACAGACAAAACAAAAUACAUAGUCUCUGGUAAAAAAAAAAAAAAAAAGUGCGAUGUAAAAAUAUUCUAUUUACAGUAUGCACCUAAGGUAGCAUUUAGAAAGCUAAGGGCAUUGGAUCAUCUCUGCCACUUACGCGUGUAAUACCCUUCCGAAAAAAAAAUAAAAAUCUUUGUUCUAAGGUAGAAUAAGUUUCACAGGUAACAACACGCUGCUCAAAUUAUACUAGUUUGGUUAAGAUAUGAUUUAAUCAUCCAACCUAGCAAUAGAGAUUUAUUUCUCUACAUCAAACUCUCUUUAGAAAAGCAAAAAGAAAAAAGAAAUAAGCCUUAUUUAAACUAUAGAAUGAUUUGGAAAUCUUAAAAUUUGGACACUUAAAUGAUACAGAAGAGAGUUAAGAUUCCAUAAUGAAAUAUCUAGAUGAUUAGGAGGACCAAUAUGUAUAAAAUCUAAUCAAUUUUACCACAAUUUGAUAGACCCACUUCAACUAGAAGAUACUAAACUAUAGCUCAUUGGAACAAUUGAAAGAGAUGGUUCUUCGAGUUGUAUUAUAUUAUUGGUAUAAGGCCGCGCGUUUUGGUUCUCAAACUUUAAAUUAUUGUUGUUUUUGGCUCAAACUUUUUAAAUGGUAGCAAUUAAGUCCCGUAAAUCUAACUGACUAUAUUGAUGUGUUACUAUUAUAAAAAUAAUUAUAUAGUAGCGUUAUGAUUGAUGACACGAUAAUAAUUAAAAUAUCAUAUUACUUUCUCAUCAGUAAUAUGUUAAUAUUAAUAUUUAAUUAACUAAAGUUUAAACCAAAGUAUCACGCGCCUCAUAAUUUGGGGAUUAAAAGUGUAGCUUAUCUUAUUAUUGCAUAGAAAGGACGAGUCCCAACCCCUCAAUAAAUGCUUCCACUGUAGGCUUAGGAAUAACAAGAACACAAACAUAAUCAUUUUAUUUGUUGUCUUAUUAUCUAAGAUCUAUCAAAUUAUUAAGAUGUAAUAACUGUUAUUAUCUAUGUGUAACACAUCACAUGAUGGGCCCAACUACAUGAUUGUUAACUACCUAAGCAUAAAGUCAUAGUCUUAUUUAAUGUGAUGGAUUAAACACAUGAAAUUGAUGUAUUUCUGUAUAUAUUUCGCUUUGUGUUGCUUAUAAAAAAUAACUUUUCUAUUUAAAAAAAACAGCAGUAAAAUAUGUUGUAAUUAAUAUCUAGAGCUAAAAUAAGUUUUCUUCGAUUAUGAUGAAAUGUUGUAUUUGAAGAAACUCUUUUCAAAAUUCACUUAUGUAGAGAAGCUCCAGCUAAACUAAUUAAAUAGAUCCUAUACCUUAAAAAAAACAAGGAAAAAAAAACUUAAACUUUUCGAGCAUUAAAAUUGCAAUGAAAGAAGAAUACAACAAAUAUGACAUCACAAAAUUCUUAGAAUUUAUAAUUGAAAUAUGACACUACCUAUAUAUCCUUCACUCUCUUCUCGUUUUCUUAAUUAUUUUAGUUGUAUCAUUUAUUCCUAAUGUUGAUGUAACAUAGAGUUGAGGUACAAAGUACUUUUAUAUCAAGUCCUUACAUUGUUUCUGACGAUGGAAUACCUAAAUUGAUGAUUUCGAUACUACUGAAGAUAAUUUACAGUUUAUGAACUUUUUGAAAAAUAAAUAUCAUGAUUUCUCGAUGUUAUUUACGUGUCGUUCAAAUGGCCAUAAUGUUAAUAAUUUUCAACGGUAUAUAUAAAGCGUACUUGAGACUACUUAAUUAUUAGAUAAAUAAUUACAAAACUAUAAAAAAAUAUAAAAUUAUAAAAUUCAUAAAAAAUCAAUAUAUUGUUGGCCGGCUCAAGUCAAACAAAUUAGGAAGUUGGAUAUAUAGUAAAAUCAAAAUUUUGAAAUAUUAAGUAGGCAAUGCAAAAUAGUUUGUAGUUUAGAUAAAUAGAAAUGAUAUCUAAGAACACUCAAUAAAGAUAUAUAUAAUAUGAGUAUUAUAAAACUUGUGUUUAUUUUGUUAAGAGCUUUAUUUAAUUUUCAAAUGUUGAUAUGUAAAGUUCCAAAUGGUGUCGACUCGUAGCUUUUAAUGAGUUUUGUAUCAUCAUAUUAGUUGGCCCAUAAUAAUAGUAAUAAUAAUAUUGUUAUUAUUAUUCGUAAAUGAGCUGUAUCUAUCAUGGAGGCCACAUGUAUACGACAACAAUAAUAUGUCAUAUUUUACAACUCAUUUACACGUUCACAUGUGUACAUAUAACAUUUAUAAUAGUGCACAUAUAGAGAAAAUAAAUAUAGUCUUUCGUACUCAUAAUUAAGUAAUUUUCGAUGAUGGAGUUUUUGUAUCGACCAUCCACUUCGUUAAAUAUAAUUUAGAAUAUUUGAAAGUUCUAAAAAAUAAAUUUUGUAAUUUUUCGAAAUCAUAAUAAAGCCUAUCAAGGGGGCAUAAAAUGAACGGUUAAAAUUGAACGACGCCCUAAUUAAAAGAGAUGAUCGGGUCCUUCAAUUUAACAUCGAAGUUAUUAAUCUUUAUUUAGAUAAUGAAUAGAAUUUUCUAUCAAAAAAUCAAUCUGUUCAAAUUCUUUUACACCGUUAAACUAGCAAGUAUUUCAUACUGACCGUUAAAAAUUGACAAUUUUGUGACCUUUUGAUUGGAAGGUAAAUGAUGUCGAAAAACUAUAAAAUUUGAUUUCUAGAAGUUUUAAAUACUCUAGAUAAUGUUUAACGGUGUGGAUUGUCGAUUCGGAAACUCUAUUAUUAAAAAUGACUUAUGAGCACGAAAAUAAUCGUACUUAUAUUAAUAUAGUAGCCGGACUCUCUCUCUAUAUAUAUAUAUACACACACAUUUGUAUAUGUUAUGUGUCACAAAAAGAGUACCAUUAUGGGCACAUUAGUUUGCAGGAUAUAUAUAAUCAUCUAAUGUAUGUGGAAUGUGGCUAGAGAGUUUUUGUCAUGUAAUAUGUAUGUUUGUUUUUUUUCCAUUGGAGCAGUUCUCAUAGAAAACAAGUUCAGAAAUAUAUAAUAACACUUCUAUUCACGUACAUAAUAAAUAUAUAUAAAGAAGAGGAAUAUGAAAUUAAUAGAUGAAAUAGGAGAUAAAAGAUCGUAAUUUAACUUGUUAUUGCAUAUGAGAUUGGAGAUAAGAGAUUGGAAUUUAACCCAUUAUAUAUAAUGCGGGACUUUUAACUUGUGAAAUGUUGAAGGUGAUAACUGAAUCCAUGAUGGAUUUAAAAUUGACUCCCGUACCAUAUUAUCUAAAAAAUCAAAUUUGUAGAAAAUGAGUCCAAAAACAUAUAUUAACACUUUAAACAAAAUUAUUCGAAAAGCACUAACAGUAAUUUCAGUAAAACCGUCCUAAAUAAGCUUCUAGCCAAAAAGUGAUAUCGUGUUUGGUACAUUUUUUGUUUUUAUUUUGUAAAUUUAAAUUCUGUUACAUCACAAAAGCUAAUAUUCACAUUUUGUCAUACAUUCUAUUUGUCCAACACCAAAAAUAUUACUUCAAAAUUAAAAGGAAUUUUCAAAAUAACCGAGCUAAUAUGUAUCAUUAUAACUACAUGUCUUAUCCUUCUUUAAAUAUCCUUUUUUUUCAAUUAUUACCAUGGCAAAAUUAAAUUAACCAUGUUCAGUGUCAUUGUCAACAAAAUGACUUAAUAUGUAAUUAUAGUAAAAUAGAAUAGUUUUUGGAGAUUAUAGACCACUUGCUUGUGAGAUGUAUGCAUGUAUUGCCGAUUUCUGUUCAUGCAGUGUUUACAGGAUGCGACCGAACCAUCAUAUGAAUGGGAUGUCAAAGCAUUUUGGGACUAGGUUUGGAAAGAAAGGCACCCUCAGGAUGCGAAUAAGCAAUUGACUAUUCUAGCAGUUAGUUGGUGGACAGUUUGGCUUGACAGAAAUAACACGAUCUUCAAUCAAAAAAGCCUGGACCCUUUGCGUGCAGUCGGAAGGAUCAGAUGUGUUGUGAAGAUGUGUGAGGCUAACGUCAAGUAAAACAUCUCUAUGAACGUGCGAGCGACUGACCUAAAUUCCUCCUCCUUUUUUAAAAAAAAACUAUUUGCUAGUUUUUACUCGUUGUUUUUAUCUUCUAUUAUUUUCUGUCUUUUUCUCUUUCGAGACCUGGCAGCCUCACUCUUGUAGCUAAAUUUAAUUUCUUAUUGAAUGAAAAAGGUAGCGUACUACCUUUCUCUAGAAAAAAAAAAAGGAAUAUUUUUUGGAUCCCUUCACAAAUUUGGGGGCUUUGUGUUUAAUUAUGGUGUAAAAAAUUAAACACCAUCACACCCUCUAUAUAUGAAUUCAUGUAUAUAAUAUAAUUAAUGCAUUGGGCCCAUGAUGCAUGGAUUGCAUGUGACUUCUCUAUCAAUGGUGGCCUAACAAAUAAAAAAGAGGAUGAGGUUCCGUGAUCCCAUAAAAGCAAAAUAUACUACUAAUAUUAUAGCAUUUUAAAGAAGUGCUUGGAUUAAGCAAAGCUAAACACUUCAAGUAUCUCACAUUAAAAGAUCCUCAAUAGGUUCUAACUGAAGCUAGAAGCAGAAACUUCAACUUGAAUCUACUGCUUGUUUUCGUCUACUCAGAAGCUUAAUUAUUUUAUUUUUCUGAGCUAUUUUACUAUUUACACUUAUGAUAAAGCUUCUUCUAAUUAAAACAAGGGUCUCUUCCACGAUCUAAUCAAUCCUCUAUUCCGUGCAGCACUCAAAUCUUUACGGUACAGACAGUAAAUUGAAAACUAUUACACUAGAAGGAGAAUUCUUAUAUAAUAUCUGCUUUUUAGAAUGACACAGAAGCUAAAUUACAAAAAAAAAAACUUCAAUUGGAAACUCUCUAAAGACGCACGGUUAAGGAGGUCUUUUUUUUAUUUGGUACUAGAAAACACUCGAGAAUAAUUAGAUGGAAGCGAAAGUAAUAGUGGAUCAGAAACUCUUCAAUGAGGUUUUAUUGAGAAGCUUUUCACUAAAAUUUUAUUUCUAAAUUACUGGUGUCAUGAUGAUAGUAAUAAAAAAAUGAAACUUAGGAGUUAGAAAUGUGGGAGGUCAACAAGCUCUAGAUUUCUAAAAACAAAAUAAAAUUGGUUUCAAAAGAGUGGUUGGAGAGAAAGGUAACAAAUUAGGACAACAACAUGAGACAGGAGAAAGUUAGGGCUUGUUGAAGGAUUUCAAGUGUUCCACACAAUACUUAAAGAAAAAGGUGUCACACAAUACCCACUCCCACCAAAAAGCCUUAACUCCUCAUGUGACCCUUAACCAACAAAAAUUUCCAAAUAAUGAGUGCCUCCCCAUUAAAGUAGGGUUCCACAUAAAUUUCCCAAAAUGCCCCUGUGGCACCUAUGCCCAAAGAGAGUGUGCAUUAACUCCAACAGCCUGUAUGUAACCAAAGCCCUCAUUAUAUAUUUUUAGCAUUAUUAAUUUCUCUGCCUAACCCUAAUAAAUUUAUGAUGUUGAAAGAAGCAUAGCUAGAAGAGGCAAAUAGGUGGAGAAGCUAAUUUGAACUUUUGAAUCUCUUCUUGGGUGGGAAUCUCCUCCUCACACCAGAAGUUUACUCUGACAUCUAAAAUUUCAGACUCUAAUUGAAAUUAUAUAACAAAAAAAAUACGAUAAAAAAAAUUCAGUUUGUUUCAAUAAAUGACAUUACGCUACAUAUAUCAAAAUAUUUCGAUUAAGUUCCAUUUUAUUAUGAUCUAGUUUAAGAUAGAAUGAGUUGUUUACAACAGAUUGAAGAUGGGAGAAUUCACUUUCACAUAAAGUGCUUUGGAAAUUGAAUCUCCCAAAAAUAAGAAAUUCUAAAAUAUUAAAAAGAUACUUAUUUUUUUAGAAACAAAUUACCCAAAAAAGAAGAAGAAGAAGAAUAUACAAAAAUUAUGAGAAAUAAAAGACCAUUCCAUCAUCUGAAAGAAAGGGAAAAGGAGAGAGGGGGAAAAAAAGAAAAGAAAAAAAGAAGUACAUCAUGAAAAUGAAAUAAAUCCUUUACCUUCAAUUUGUUGUCCAAUCACACAAUUCCCUUUUCCCUUUCCAUAACUAUAUAUAUAUAUAUAUAAGAAUCUUAAACAAAAAAAGUAGUAGUAAUCCUAGGAUGCAAAUUUGGUUGAUCCAGUUUUCAAAGAUGAUUCCCCACUCUGUUUUGCCUCCCCACAAUCCAGUUCAGAGUCCUCCUGGCAAAUGAAGGAGCCUCAUCUGCUCUUGAGCACAGCCUCUUGCUGCUGCUGCUGCUGCAGCUGCAGCUGCCAGCCUCCAAAUCCAACUCCAGCUCACCCCCACCAGUCUUCCUCCUCGGCUCCUCGUUGCGGUGGAACGGCAGGCGGAACGACGCCGCCCGCUGCCGCGAGAAUUCGGCGCAGUCCUUCUUCGGCCGCAGCCACGUUUUCGACACCGAAAAGCUCUCCCUCUUCUGAAUUGCGGUGCCGGGCCGCGCGGUCUCGGCGGCGUCGAAUCCCUUGAAACCUUCCCGCCGCGAAUUGCAGUCGCACUCCGACAUGGCGAGGCGGUGGCCGGGCCUUUUCGCUGCGGCGGAGGCGGUCGGUUUCUUCUUCGGAGGCUUGAUUGGCACCUUGAGAGAGGAGGCCUCGUCCAUUACGUACUCAUAAGACCCCAUGGAAAAACACCUCCUUUGAUCCAAAUUCGUGUUGUUACCACCAUUGUUACUGUUACUGUUACUGUUACUGUUACCGUCGCUGCUCCCUUCGCCCUCUCCUCCGCAAAUCUCCACACUCCGGAACUUGCCGAGCUUAACGGAGACAAUUUUCUCAUCAGGAACCGCCGAGCAUGCAAUACCCGCGUCCUCUUUCUCCGCUGUUUUGGGGGGAAUCUCGUGGCUCAGGGGGCCGAACUCGUCGUCUCCGGCGACGGCAAUCUCCAUUCUUUCGGAGCCGAUCUCCCUGAAGCUCUCGCCGCCGCCCGAUUCGAGCAGGAGCAGCACGGGGCUGCAGCUGCUGGCGGGGGAGUAAUCGGGCAGGAGGCUGCUCCGGCAGAGCGGGCAGGUGGAGUGGGAGAGCAGCCAGGUAUCGAUGCAGUCGACGUGGAAGGCGUGGCUGCAUUUGGGGAGGAGCCGGAGCUUGUCGUCGGCGUCGAACUCGCACAAGCAGACGGCGCAGUCGAAGGGGUCCUUGAGGCCGAUGAUGGCGCGGUAGAGGAAGACGGGGAGGGCGUCGAUGAAGGAUUGGUCGACGCCGGCGUCGUGGAGGUGGAAGAGCUGCUGGAGCUGGCCCUGGAGGGCGGUGGCGUCGUCGAGCUCGUCUGGGUCGCGGGAUGGGGGCCGCAGCAGGUAUCUGACGAGCAGGUGGAGGAGACCGGAGAUGAAGAAGAUGACGGCAAGGAUCACGAUGAUUAGGAGGAUGCUGGGGCUGAUCUUGUUCUGGAAAUUGGUGUUGUCGUAGAGAGGAGGAGGAGGAGUAGCAGUAGCAGUAGCAGUAGCAGGUGGGGGAUGAGUAGGGGGAGAGGAAAAGUUGGAUCUUUUGAUGGCUUCAUGAGAGAGCCGAUUCAUGGUUUGGUGUUGAACAAGGCAUAAAGGUGGGAGAAGUUGGAGAAGAUGAGGGGGACUCAAUUAAAAAUCUCUUCUUUUUUUUUUUACCAAGGUUUCUGCAUGCUGCUUUUGUUGAUGGUGAUGUAGAACAAGAGAGGAGGUGUGAGAUUGAGAGAUUUGAAUUAUGAGAGAGAGAGAGGGGUCAAAGUGAGGAGGAGGAGGAGGUGAGAUCCUUAAUGGGUGGAGAAAUAAAUGGGGUGCCAGGAGGAGGGUGUGUAAAGAGAAGUAAAUGAAUGACUUGAGUGAGUGCUAUUAGGGAGGGAGAAGGGUAGGGGAUAUAAGAGUGAGGCUACUAUGCUAUCGGAAGCACUAAACCUUUCGUGCUUUCAGCUUGUUUUCGAUGUUGCGAUUUUCGAAUCAUCGAUCGGCUCCGUUAAACUUGAUCUAGAGUAUUUGAAGUACCUAGAAAAUAAAUUUUAUUAUUUUUCGAUAUCAUUUGCCUAGUGAUCGAAUGAGCUCAAAAUCAACAAAUUUCAAUGGCCGUAGUGAGCCCGUUUGCAAGUUUAACGGUGUAGAAAUAUCCAAAUCACGUGAAAUUUUGAUAGAAAAUUCUUUAUACUAUAUAAAAUAAAAUCAAUAUCUUUGAUUUAAAAUUUUAAUGUCAUAUUAUCAUAUUUUGUAAGAUUUUUAUUUUCAGCCGUUGAUUUUGAGCCCAUUCGAUUACUAGGCAAAUGAUAUCGAAAAAUAAUAAAAUUUAUUUUCUAGGUACUUCAAAUACUCUAGAUCAAGUUUAACGGAGCCGAUCGACGAUUCGAAAGUCGCAACAUCAAAAACAAGCUGGAAGCACGGAAGGCUCCGUGCUUCCGAUAGCAUAGUAGCCUCACUCGGGGAUAUAAUAAUAAUAAUAAUAAUAAUAAUUAAUAAUAAUAUUGAACUUUUUUCCAGCUGGAAAAAUCCAAUUCCUUAAAUGGGGAUCUCCAUGGAUACAGAAAACUAAUAUUUCAUCUGAAUCACCCAUCAUUCCUAAUGUAAGUGGUAAAGAAUUUAUUAGUUGGUAUUCAAAAUUUUAAGUUGAAAAUUUAGUUGUUUUAUACUUUCAACAAAAUUUAUUUUUAAAAGAUAAAUAAAACAGAUAGCAUGCAUGCUUCAUUUCUCUUUAAAAAAAUAUUUUAUUUGAAUUGGAAUCUCGACGAGACGGAUUUAUUUGAUGUUAAAUGAGGAUGAUUUUAAAUACAGAUGUAGAAUACAAAACUUUAAUGAAUUUGGAUUCAGAUAUAAUUUUGUCUGCACUCGAUUCGAACCCGAAUCUCACCAUAACCUGAAUUGAUUUUAUAUAUAUAUAUAUAUAUAUAUAUAUAUAUAUAUAUAUAUAUAGGAGNAUAUAUAUAUAUAUAUAUAUAUAUAUAUAUAUAUAUAUAUAUGAUUUUAUAUUUAAAUUUAUAUUUUAAAAUUUUAGAUUUUUAAUAUAAUAUGUUUCAAAAUAUGAUAAGGAAAAAUAAUUAUUUUGGAUUCGGAUUUCGGGUUUGGUUGUCGAGUUGGGGCUCAGAUUCAGAUUUGUGGAAACCCGCCCCAAAUCCAAUCCGUUGACAUUUCUAUUCUUUGCUGCUACACCUAUAAUAAAUAAUAGAAAAAAAAUAAAAUUAAGAUAAAAAUAUACAUAACUAAUCUGAACUAUAAAUCAUUUUGAAUCAACUAUCCUAUCAUUUAGAAUUUUGAUUUUAAUAUCCACCCUUUCAAUUUAUUUGAUUUGAGUUGGUUAAUGAUAUUUUGAUCUUAAAAUUUAAGCUAAUUGGUCACUUCAAUAAAUUUUCAAUUGCGGAAAUUGCAUGAAGUAAUACUAACGAAGGCUGUAUAGAUAAGCGACGCAUUCAAAUUUUAAUGUCAAAAUACUGUUGACGGGCUCAAAUCAAACAAAUUGAAAGAUUGGAUAAUAAGAUCAAAAUUUUGAAAAGUUAUAUAACUGACUAAAAUAACCUAUAGUUUAGAUAGAUUCUAUAUAUUUUUACCAAAUUAAAAUCAAAAUUUUUAGAAACCAAAAUUUUCAAUUUUUCGAUAUUAUU
rnacentral:lncRNA from 1 species